UUUCAUUGGCUAUUAUGAAAAUUUGCAUUUAUUUUAAAAUUAAACUUGACUCAAAUUACAAAUUUUAAAUUUUAAUUCAAAAAAAAAAAAUCAUAUUCUUGCAAAGGGAUUAUUGUCGAGUUUUAUUAUUUUAGAGUCUAGCUAUGUUAUUAAGAAGAAAUAAUGUAAAUUUACAUAUUUAAAUAAAGAAAAAAAUAAAUUAUCCACUUUCCAUUUAUUUUCAUUCUAAAAAUAAAAGUCUUUAAGUAUGAAUUAAAAAAAUGAUAAUAUUAUAUUAAAAAUUAACUAACAUAUGCUUACAUCAUUUUUAUUGUUAUUUAAAAAAAAAUAUUAAUUUUUUUUAUUACUUCAUACUUUAAAAUUAAUUUUGAAAAAAUAUGAUAAGUUCGAUAUUUUCAUUAAUAUUUUUUAUUUUUAAAAGUACAAAAUAGGAAAUAUAUCUAAAUAAGCUUUGCAUGAUUUUUAUAAAUUUGUAUUAAUUGUCCUUUAAUUCUCUUUAUAAUUAUGAGUAAAUAUAAUUUUUUAUUGCCUAAUUGUGCAUUAAUUUCUAAGCAAUUUAUAAGAUAAUCAAAUGAAAACUAAUCUCAAGAGGAAGCUAAGUUUAAUCAAUUUUUACAAAUCUGCUAUUCAUUCUUUUCUUGUCUUACAAAUUAUAUUUGAAAUUAAUGCAAAUUUAAAAAAUGUAACUUGAAAUUAUAUUUUUAUAUUAAUUAUUUAUAUAUAAAGGAGGAAAAACUUACAUAGUUAUUUUUUAAUUUUUUAUUCUUGACAAAUAUAAUAAAAAGUAAUUAACCCUAGAAUUGGUAAGAAGUCUGACCUAAUUUGGCAUAAUCUUGGUACAAGGAAAUUAAAUUUUCCAUAAAUGAUAUUUUGUCAAAUAUGUUAAUCCCUAUAUUGAGAAUUAAACACUUAAAUCCAAAAGUUUGAAUGCGUGUAAAAUUAACGUCCAUCAUAAGAUUAUAAAAGCAGUUACUUUCAUUUAAGGGUGAAACUUGGACAGAUUAACUUGAUCUGAUCAAAAUUUAAUCUCAUGUUUGGGCAACCAUUUUCAAUAUUUGAAUUAGAUUUUUUCAACACGAGUUUAACUUAAGGUAGACUUAGUUUAAGGUUUAGAAAAUUCUUAUAUUUUAAAGAAAAAAUAUCAAAUUAUAUUUUAUUACAUAUGUUUCUUUUUUUUUUUAAUAGAAAAAGAAAUAAAUUUAUAUUUAUUAUUUUGUUGUUAUUUUGAAAUUUUAUCAUAUUUACCAUUUAAAUUUUCAUAUAAAUAUAUUAAAAAGGUUUUUUUUUAAAUAUUAUAUAUAAAUCUUGAAUUGUACAACUUAACAAAUUCAAACUCAAUCAAAGUCUAAUCCCACCAACUAGAGACUACUCUCCCUAAAAAGUCUAUAACUUAAACAACUUCCUCUUAAAAAAAUAGAUUAAGUUGGACUUAAAUUUAAUACUUUAUCAAGUUGAGUUAGAUUAGGUUAAUUAUUUUUUAAUUUGAGUUAAGUUUGAGUUAGUCAUCAAUCCGACUAACCCGCUAUCCCUACUUUCAUUAAAUUAAAAUUUCUUUUAUUUUUAUGUAUUACGUUAUUGUUUAAAAAAUAUUUAAAUAAUAAUUCUCUACACUAUACUAAAUGUCUCGUACAUUAAAUUUGAUAAAUUACGAGUGAGGAGCCGAUUAAGAUAGUGCUUGAAACUGUUUUUAAAAACAGUUUUUUUUUGUGAAAAUUUUUAAAACAUGUUUGAUAUAUACAUAGUGUUUUCAAUUGUACAAUUAUGAAAAAUAAUUGAUAGUAAACUACUAUAUUUUAAAAUUAUUUCAAAAAACUGAAAAUAAUAAUAAUAAUAAUAAUAAUAAAAAACAGUUUGAAACAUAUUUUUGUUCAAAAAAAACAUUUUUGAGGAAGAGGGUCAUCAUUUUAGGAUGUUACCACUUUAUUAAAUUAAUGGAAACAAUUCCUUUCCCCUCCACAUCUUUUUGCUUUUUAAAUUAAUUAAUGGGUUCCAUUUUCUUUCCAACUCUGUUUUCUAUCAAACACCAUGAUUCUUCAAGUCUCUAAUAAAAUAGAAUUCUCAAGUGACUAAAACUGGAAGAGAGACCCCCUAACUCAAAUCCAAAAGCGGAAACAUUAAUGGGUGGCCGAAAACAGCAAAGUGCUUCCGAAAAACAAAAGCAGUCGACGCAAGUUUCAAAACUGUUGCACCCAAAGAGGCUGAACCCCAUAUGGGGAACAAUAUCAAAGCCUCCUUCUCCACCCAAUAUCUAAACAAAUCGCUCGUGAACUGUGGGCGCUGAGGGCCCUGGUUGACGUGGCGAGAUCGAAACUGUUGGGGCCCGUCCAACCGAAUCACGCGAAACGAUUUGGAGUUGAUAAACAACAGUAGUUUCGGGAUCUGCCGAUUUAUCGCGAACGCGAAAAAUAAAUCCAGUAAAAUAGAAAUCAUGUAUAUAUAUAAAAAAUAUUUGUAUUAUUACGGAGGGGAAUGGCAUUGGGUAUUUAUAUAGGGCUCAAAUAUAAUUGAGUUGUAUAAUUUCUCUCUCUUCCUCUGCAAAAUUGGGUUUCUCUCUUCGAUCUCUGAUCAGCUCCCUUCGCCGGAAAAUCUCGACGCCGAUCGAGGGAUCGCGACGAUUCAUCGGUGGUUACGGAAUCGCGUAGCUUUCCGGGGAGGUAAGAAUCUUGGAACCUUGCUGUGCCAUUUUGGGAUACGUUGUUUUGGGUUCUUACAAGUGCUUGGGGAUUUUUGCUUAGGUUUGCUUCAGAUCUGGUAGUGUUUGGCUUGGGAUUUUGAUUUUGGGUUUCUGCUUCGGUUUUGUUGGUUUUGGUGGCGUGUUUGAGAUGAAAUUGAAGGAAAGCUUUGAAAUUUAGGGCUUUUUGGGGUUAUUGCUGUAUAUGGAAGAGGGAAUGAGAAGUGGUGAUCGUUCGGGCGGUUUGGUGAAGAGUAGGAACGCCUCAGGAUGUUUAAUUAUUAAAAAGAAAGGCGAUGGGGUGAGUGGGGCUGGUUCUUCGGGUUCGCAGGGGUUAUUAGAAUCCAAGAAGGAGAAGAAGAGACCGCGAUUGGUUCUUAGCGAUUCGGGUUCGAGUGAUGAACUGUUAGAAUCUCGUCGGCCAAGGGUUCUAUCUGGGAGUAGCCAAGCUGGUAAUGGUGUAACUGUUUUUAAACAGGGCGUUGAAGAGAGAAAUUUUGGUUGCAAUGGUGUAGUCGAGAGAAAGAGAAGUAGGUUAGAUGUCUUUGAGUUUGACGAGUAUGACAGAAUUGAGGGGAAAAAGCAGAGGAAGAAGGAACAGAUGGAUAAUGGGGAAGUUGGAGGAAGAGGCUUUUUGGGUUCAAAGCAGGUGCUGCAAAGUAGCAGUCGAAGGGAAUUUGAGACAGGUUCAAGCAGACAAGAUAUUGUGUAUAGGAGAAAACAUUCUUAUUUUGGAAAUACAAGUGGCUCAUUAGGAGAAAGGAACAGGGGAACUGAUUAUUCUGAGACUAGCAGGUUUGAGAUGAAAAGGGAUGGAACUCGGGUACCAGUUUCGUUGUUGAGGGGUCACUCUGAUGAACCCAUCCGACUGCAGGGAAAAAAUGGUGUUUUGAAGGUGAUGCCAAAGAAGAAGAAUGUGGGAGGGUCUCUCAGAAGUUAUGAUCCCCAGGAAGCUGAAGGCAUUAGACAGGUGUCUAGGCCUGUGGAUAGCAUGAAGAGGAACAUAUUGAUUCGCCCUUCAUCUUAUUCAGAAACAAAACUUCAUGAGAAACCAGGUUCAUUUGUUGGAGCAGAGAAAAAACACCCGAACUUGAGAAAAUCAUUACCCACUAAGAAGAGUAAAGCCAGCUACUCAGGAUCAGAGGACAGUGACACAUCAUUGAAGGUGGGUUCAAAGAGUGUGGAAGCCCAUAGCUCUGGGAAAAGGGGAAAGAGUGAAGGAGAGAGGACUCCACCGUCCGAAAAGCUCCCACCAACUAAAGGAAAGGAAGGAAAAGUUAAGCGUGGUAGUGGCACCGAGAAGCAAUUAUUACGUGAACGAAUAAGGGGAAUGCUUGUUAAUGCAGGUUGGACAAUCGAUUAUAGACCUAGAAGGAAUAGAGACUACCUAGACGCUGUUUACAUUAACCCCACAGGAACAGCGUACUGGUCCAUCAUCAAGGCUUAUGAUGCUCUCCAAAAGCAAAUUGAUGAUGAGGAGAGUAAAUCAAAACCUAGUGGUGACCUCUCUCCCUUUUCUCCCAUAGCAGAUGAGGUACUCAGCAAACUGACAAGGCAAACUCGUAAGAAGAUUGAGAAAGAAAUGAAAAGGAAACAAAAGGAUCAUGCUGGUACUAAGAAUACAGAUGCAUAUACCAAGGAUGACUCAGAGGAUGCAGAUGACAUUAAGCAUGAAGAGAAACUAAGCUCAUUCAUAAAGCAGAAUGGCAAGUCGAUUAAACGAACAUUAAGGCACGAUCGGGGUGAAAAACUAUCUUUUGCUUCCAAUUCUUUGGUACAUGGAAGGAAAAGUAGAAAAAUUGGCAGAUGUACUUUGUUGGUUCGCAAUUCUGGCAAGGGACUGAAUUUGGAAACUGAUGGCUUUGUUCCAUAUACUGGGAAACGAACUCUUCUGUCUUGGCUUAUUGACUCUGGAACUGUGCAGUUAAGUGAGAAAGUGCAGUAUAUGAAUCGCAGACGCACAAAAGUAAUGCUGGAGGGAUGGAUCACAAGAGAUGGAAUUCAUUGUAGAUGCUGUAGUAAAAUCCUCACAGUUUCAAAGUUUGAAAUUCAUGCAGGGAGCAAACUUCGUCAGCCAUUCCAGAACAUAGUUUUGGACUCUGGGGUUUCCCUUUUGCAGUGCCAGGUAGAUGCAUGGAAUAGACAAGAGGAGUCUGAACGUAGUGGUUUCCACCCUAUAGAUGUUGAUGGUGAUGAUCCUAAUGAUGACACUUGUGGUAUCUGUGGAGAUGGUGGGGAUUUGAUCUGUUGUGAUGGGUGUCCCUCAACAUUCCAUCAGAGCUGCUUAAAUAUUCAGGUAAUUCAUCCAUAUUACAUAUUACAUGCCAUAUGGCUCUAUUGAUCAUGCUAGUCACAUCUAUGGACAGAUUUUUCUUGACAACCAUUCCCCUUCUUGUUCUGUUGGCAUUCUUUUUUUUUUUUUUAAUUGAUCUACAUAUAUAUUUUCUUUUUCUAUCACCAAAGGACUUAGUUGUAGAGAGCAAAAAAAAAAAAAAAAAAAAUGAAGUUAGCAAAAUGAAGUUAACAGGUAUAGAAUUCUGAGGUGAUUUUGCCAAUUUCCCCUUCUAUAAUGUGUUAUUUUUUUAUUUUUUAUUUUGAUAGGUAAAAGUAAUUGUAUUAAAAAGAAAAGUAUACUCGAUGUAUACAAGGAAACAAAAAACAAAAAGGCGUAGACACAUAAAAACAACCACACCUUACGGAGCUCCUAACCAAUCUACAAAAUCAAGCAUCGACAAGGAGCCCUCUUAUGCUCUUGUGCACUCUUAUUGUAUAUGUCCUGUGUACUCUUGUGCACCAAGAGUACACUAGUUGGCCUUUUAAUACAUUCUCUUAUUUAUAAAAAAAAAUGGUUGGUCAGGUUUUGCACUGCAAAAAUGUGGUUUUGUGCUUGAUUUGUAAAAACAUGCUACAAUACUUGGCGUGUUAAAUGCUGAGUAAUGUUUUUUUCUUCUUAAUGCAGAUGCUUCCAUCUGGUGACUGGCACUGCCCUAAUUGCACAUGCAAAUUUUGCGGAAUGGCUGAUGGGAGUAAUGCUGAAGAUGAUACAACCGUCAGUGAGCUAGUUACUUGCAGUCUAUGUGAGAAAAAAUGUAUGCACUUUUUUAUUCUUUAUUAGAAUUCAUUGUAUUUCCAUAAAUGCUUCCCCUCUUGUUUUUCUUGAUGCACCAAGACAAUUUUGCUGAAAUUCAACCUCUUUUUUACCUUCUUAGAUCACACAUCGUGCAUUCAAGGGGUGGAUGCUGUCCUUUCCGAUACCAAUAAUCCAUCCACUUCUUUCUGUGGACAGGGGUGCCGGGAGGUAUUGCAUUUUGUCCAAGUUUUUCUGAAUUUUUAAUAGUUUGUAGAAAUUGACCCGAUUUUGCUAGUUAAUCGAGUUUGUGAUUAGUUGUAGAAAUAUAUAUAUAUGUUAAAGACAAAAGUAUAUUAUAAAUCAAGAGAAAAAGGCGUCCAAAGGACAGCCCAAAGCAUACCGGGAGUAUACGUCUACCAAAAGAAAGUUGGGGAAAAAUGCUUUUGGAAGAAUGUUGUUGUGGAUACUUAAAUUAUUUUUUCUCUCUUAUGUGUUGAGAACUGAACCAAAGAGAGAAAAAAAAAAGAUUUUUUGACCUACCUACUUCUAAGUGGAGUUCGGUCUUAUGAUGGCCUGUCUGCUGGCUCUGGUACUGGGUACUGAACCACUUGCUCUGCUGCUUUCUCCGUUGGUUCUAGAUCAUCAUCAUAAAGAGAACUGGUAAAGCUACAGCUGCUCCUGCUACUAGAUCGACUUGAGCAACGGAUGCUGGCUCUAGGAACGGAUGGAAAGCCACAAUAGCUCAAAUUGGUGGAGGUUCCUCAAGGCGAAAGCCAAGAAGAAGAGGGGCUACAAAAACUUAUCCACUCUCAUUUAGAACCCAACCAAUAAAAAAAGUCUAUCAAUGAUCAUGGACCUACAUCUAUGAACAACUUAGCCCAAGACCAAUAAUCACAAACAAAAUAAUUUUUCAAUCUUUGAACCAAAAACUCCCCAUUUUCGAAAGCAAACCUGUUUCUUUCCUUCCAAACUGUCCAAAAGAGGAUCAGUUUUGCUGUAAUUUGUUUCUGAUCUUUUGUGGUAGCUUGAGAGUCAUGUUCCUGCCAAGGCUAAUUAGCAUCCUUUAUCCUUCUUUUUUUCUAUCUUCCUUUUCUCACUAAUGAGUAUUUUGUUAUAGUGCUGCUUUUUGAACAUGGUUGUUUCUUGUAUACUAACAUAUCGGUCUGGUGGGACAUCUACAUGCUUGAAUAGAUGUAAUGUUUCCAAAAAUUUAUUAAAAAAUGAAAAUUUUUCUCUCAGGUCCGAUGGCAAUUUUAAGAUGUACUCCUUUACAAAAAAAAAAAAAUACAUCUUAAAAAAAAAAAUACAUUUUAAGAUGUACUCCUUUACAGUGAUCAAAAAAAAAAAAAAAAAAAAAGAAAAAAAAGAAAAAAAAAGAUGUACUCCUUUACAGUAGCAAUUGGGUUUUGUAGAUAUUAACCUCUUGGUGGGUAGUUCUUGCAUUAACUGAAAUCCGUUGGAUAAAAGAGGAGCAUGGUUGAUUGGACUGGUCACAAAUCCAUUAUCUUGUUGCAAGUUUCUACAGAAAAACUAAACAUGAAUGCAUGAAUGUCAACUUAUAUAACAUAACUUCAAGUUUUUCCAGCAAUGUUAUAUCAUAGGCUAAUAAAUUUGAAUUCAUGAUGUAGAUGUUAAGUUCACGAAAUUGUGAAAUAUGUGAAAAAAAUUUCCACUAUAGUUCUUUUUUCAUGUUAUUCUGAGUCUCAGUUGAGCAAUUGUUAAGAUUGUAAAUCCUGUUGCUUUUUAGUGUUCUCUUUAUGGUUAGGUUUUUCAUCCUAGUUGCUUUGCUCUGAUUUGUAAAUCCUGUUUGUUUGUUGACGGACGGUAUUUUUCUCCUUCUAAAUUGGCAGAUUUAUCUUGUGUUUAAAGGCAUUGAAAUUAAUCUAAAUCAUUGUUCCUUUGCAGCUCUUUGAACAUUUACAGAAGUUUAUUGGGGUCAAACAAGAACUGGAGGCAGGGUUUUCAUGGUCUCUCAUUCAUCGCACAGACCCAGGCUCAGAUACAUCUGUCCGAGGAUUUCCACAAAGGGUGGAAAGCAAUUCUAAGCUUGCUAUUGCACUGACUGUUAUGGAUGAGUGCUUUUUGUCCAUUGUUGACAGGAGGAGCGAGAUUAAUUUAAUCCAUAAUGUUCUCUAUAAUCGUGGGUAAGACCAAAUUAACAUAUUCAUUUAAAAAGUAGAAACUUAUGGAAAGAUGGAGCAUUGCAGUUUUGAACUGCAUGAUAUUCAUGCAUGGAACCUGGACUAUUGGACCUGUACUGCAAAUUUGUUAAGCAAGUUUGCUAUAAGUGAGAUGGUUAUUUGAGAAUGAAUUUUACUUGGAAUGCUGCGACCUUCUAUAUAUUGUUCAUAUGCAUCUGUAACCAUCAAUAGAUAAAACACACUUAAUUUUUUAUGGGCUUACUGUCAAUCGUAUAUGCAUAACCACUAUUCUCAUUAUUAUGAUUGCAGCUCAUUAUAAUUCUACUUGCACAUGAAUGUUUUUGUGAUAAAGUAUGCUGUUGGCAAAUCAUGAGCAUGCAUUAUAGAUUUUACAUUUUCAGAGUAGUUUUCAGGUAUAGCUUUUUGUUACUGUCUAAAAAUGCUCUGAAAAUAUUCUCAGGAUAUGCCUUUUUCCCAUUUAUAUUGAGCUAAUGACCUGCACAAAAACAUCAUUUACAAGUAAUCUUUUUCUAUAGUUUGGUAAUCAACAACCAGGUCCUUUAUUUGUGUAUAUUAUUUAGUGUUAGCAAACCAUGUCAACCCACAACAGCCAACUAUCCACAUGACAAUUCUCAAUGUCAUGCAGGAAUGUUCCUGUAAUUGAUCAAUUCCUCCUUUUUUUAUGUAGAUCAAACUUUAAUCGGCUGAACUACAGUGGUUUCUACACUGCAAUUUUGGAGAGAGGUGAUGAAAUAAUCUGUGCUGCAUCAAUCAGGUAUCAUGCUUCAUAUCUUCAGCUUAUCUAUCUUGCUAUGGAACUCAAAAUUUCUUGCAAAUGGUAUUUUGGGAGUUUUCAUUCUUUUUUUUUUUUGAUAGGUGUUUUGGGAGUUUUCAUUCUUGAAGGAAAUGAUGCAUUGACAGUUAUAUUUUUCCAAAGCCUUAAGAGAUAUUUGAUAAUACUGAAAAUUAAGUAAUGAAUACUUAAGUUCUGAAUUAGAAAUUGAAGUUUUUAAUUGCUAAAUGGAUCAAAGUAAGACAUUUAUUGGAUCAUCCAAGUUUUAAAUGUUGAAUUUAAUCAAAUUUUUUGAUGAAUAAAGAAUUGAAGUUUGAAAUUUAUUUGUUUACAUUUACCCUUGUACCCUGUAUUCUUUCGGUAAUAUUAUCCAAGUAAAUACCAUAAAUAUGAAAAUAAAACAUAUAACCAUUGAGCAGAAAAAAAUGUUCUUGUCAGUCUUAAAAAACAAAAAGGAACGAUAAAAUUAAAUGUAUAUUGGUAGCGUUCAAAAUGUGGAUAAAGAGUAAGACCAAUGUUUAAAUUAUCCAAAAAUCUUCUGUCACGUAUAAUGUACACAAUAGUUAACAUAAGAAACCAUUUACAGUUGAAUGAACAUGAAAUCAUGCUUCUGAAAUGGGGAAGGGCAUGAUUAUUGGGAAAGGAAAAUUGCAAAGUGCCCAACUAAGACACAAACCUCAUGAUUCCAAGUUUUCUGCUUUUCACAAUUUACUUCAUAAAUAUGAAUCUUGUCUCUAAAUAUCUUGAAUCAAUCUCUUAGCAAAAUGCAAAAGUUGCAUUAUUUUUUCCAUUUUAGGAAAUUUGCAUUCUUAGUAAUUAUAUCAAACUUUAGAAGGCUGCUAAUUCAAACUUUAGGAGGGAAGGAUAGAUGGAAAGAAAUUGUCUCUAGCUCGACAAUAAAGAAAAUUUUCCAUAGAGAGAGAGGAGAGUGGAGGGAGGGAGAGAGGGGAAGGAAACUUUGGGUUUCUUCAAUAACUGUUUUUGAAAACAGUUUACUAUUCUCUAGAAUAAAAAAAAUAGGAAAAUGUGUUUGAUAACCAAAAAACAAAAAACUGUUUUUUAUUCUUAAAAACAGAAAACAAGGUGUUUUUAGAGAACAUCUUUUAGUUAUUUUCACUUAUUUUUUAAAGGUUGUUUUAAAAAAUAAUUAUACAAAUACGAAGAAUAAUUAAAAAUAAAGUACUACAUAUAAAGGUUAUUUUUAAAACAUAUUUAAAAAUAUAAAAAACUGGUUAAACACUUCUCAGGUUUUCAAACAGGCAUUUGUUCUUCAAAACAUCAAAGAAUAGUUUUCAAAAAUUGUUUUUUAGAAUUAUUUUUUAAAACAUUUACUAAUCAAGGCCUUUAUCUCUAGCUCCAUAGUCAAGGAAAUUGCUUUCGACAAUGGGAGGGGAGGGAAGAUAAAUUUUGUCUUUAAUUUACAAUCAAGAAAAUUGUUUUUCCACAGUGAAUGGGGGAGGGAGGGAGAAAUUUUGUCUCUAGCUCUACAAUCAAGAAAAUUGUUUUCUAAAGAGGGGGAGGGAGGAAGGGAGUGAUAUUUCAGCUCUAGCUUUACAAUCAAGAAAAAAAAAAUUCACAAUAUGCAAUACUUGUCUCCAAGAUCAAAAUGGUAAAGAGUACAAUCAAGAAAACUGUUUUUCACAAUAGACAAUACUCCUCUAAGAUGAAAAUUGUUUUUCACAAUAGACAAUACUCCUCUAAGAUGAAAAUUGUUUUUCACAAUAGACAAAAUUCUUCCCUGGGAUUAAAAUAGUGAGGUGUACAAUCAAGAGAACUGUUUUUCACAGUAAACAAAAUUCUUCUCUAAGGUAAAAAUACUAAAGUGAGAACCUAGAAAAUAUUGUCUCUAGCUGUGCAAUUAAGAAAACUGUUUUUCACAAUAGACAAUACUCUUAUCCGAGCUCAAAAUAGUAAAGUGAGAGAGUAGAGUGGCCAGAAAAGGAGGGAGAGAGGGAGGGAAAUUUUGUCUCUACUCCUAAAAUCAAGAAAAUUGUUUUUCACAAUGAAUGAAACUCCUCUCUGAGAUCGAAAUAGUAAAGCAAGAGAGUUGAAAAUUUUGUCUCUAGCUGUACAACCUAGAAAACUGUUUUUCACAAUAGACUCUUCUCUGUGACCAAAAUAGUAAGGGAAAGCAUAGAAAAUUUUAUUUCUGACUGUAAAAUCAAGAAAACUGUUUGUCACAAUGGGCAAAGCUCUUAUACAAUAUGAAAUCACUAAAGUGAGCAAGUAGAGUAGCCAGAAGAGGGAUGGAGAGAGGGAAGGAGGGGAUUUAGUCUCUAACUAAGAAAACUGUUUUUCACAAUAGACAAAAACUAUUCCUUGAGAUCAAAAUAGUAAGCUGAGAUAAUAGAAAUCACAUUGAUGGUCAUUAAUUGGAUCUAGAGCUAUGUAGCAUCGUUGCGUCUGUUCAUUUUUUCUCUACUUUAUAAUUGUUAAUAGUUGGUGCAAUUACUGAUAUCUUCAUUUUGUAGGUUGAGUGGCAUAACUAUUUUCUGGAGCUUUGUUGGUCCCUUGAUUUUGUUCAUUUUAUUGAAGUUCCCUUUGGAGCUUUCCUUUUUUGGUAGUGGGAGUUUCUGUUAAAUGGGACUGUGUUAUUUAUGGUGUGUGCAUCUAUGUUCUUUUUUGCAAAUAAGCCUUACCAUUAUAUGCUCUUUGCCUGUGUAGGAUCCAUGGAACCCAGUUAGCAGAGAUGCCGUUCAUUGGAACUCGCCAUAUAUAUAGGCGCCAAGGGAUGUGCCGUCGGCUUUUUUGUGCUAUUGAAUCGGUAAUAUUAUGAUGACUAUGUUGUUGCUUGGUGCUUCACAUUUUGUGGUGAAAUAUAAUAACCCAUGAUUACACUCAUUCUUUGAGGUACCUAUUAUAAUCUGAGUUGUUGACUUAUUAUGCCUAACGAGUUCAACCUAUCUUCAAAGGUUCUGUUAGUUAGGCCAUGGACAAUCCAAUUUUUUUUUUUUUUAAAUUUAUGUCAGAGGCAUGGAGGACCAAUACUAUUUAUAUCAUGUUUUGUGCAAGCCAUAGUUGAAUUACUAUUGUUAACUGCUGGUUUCUUCGCCGCAGUCUGGGAUUUUUAAUUUUCCUGUAAACCCUGACUAUUUCCUGCUUCAAAUCCCUUUAAUGGCACUGAUUUAUGUUCUGCUGUUCUGACUUUCAGGCUCUUUGCUCUCUCAAAGUUGAGAUGCUAAUUAUUCCAGCUAUAUCCGAACUCAUGCAUACAUGGACUGUAGGUUUUGGUUUCAAUCCUCUUGAAGAAUCCCAUAAGCAAGAAUUGAGGUCCUUGAAUAUGUUGGUGUUCCCGGGUACAGACAUGUUACAGAAGCUGCUUCUGGAGCAAGAAACUGCUGAUGGAAACAUGACUGCUAGUCCAGGUUUAAUUAUUGCAAUUCAUUGUCUUUGUCUUGGAGCUAAUAUAUGCCAUCUCUUCCUAAAAUUCUGUAUAUUUUUUGCUGCAGGUACAAAGUCAGUUGAAUCCAAAGGCAACAAUUGUAAUACACCUGAUUUGGAAAAUAAAUCUGAUAUAGAUUCAUCCAAUGGGCAUGAUUUAUCCAUCCAUAAUCAUUCCAUUUCGCAACAUUCAAAUGACAGAAAUGACAAUGUCUGUGCUUCUGACUCUAUUUCCCUGACCCCAGCUGUUCCAUUGACUAAUCCUUCUAUCAUGAGUGGUGCUUCAGAUGCUCUUCAUGAACCUGAAAUCCAAGGCUCUGGUGAGGAGACGAGAUGUUCUAAUUCUGAGUCCGGGGACAAGUUGAAUGAAGCUACUGAAGCCAAGUGUCCUUCUCCCUCUUAUGCAAGUUGCAAUGUUCUUGAGAUAGAAAAACAUGUAUUUGAUUCUCCUGGCGAGGGUGAUAUGCAUUCUCCUUCUGAGGACAAAGUCGGUGAUGCUCGUGACCCAAAUGUCCAAGUCCCUGGUGAGGGGACUAUAUGUUCUAGUUCUCAGUCAAGGAACAAACUAGGCAAACCUGGUAGUGACUUCAACUGUCUAUCUGCUUCUGAAGCAAGUCAUAAUGGAAAAGCCAUGGUGGAUUCUCCUGUUGAAAGUAACAGUCGGCCCUCUGAUGAGUGUGAAGAUGGUAAUGGUCUAGAAGUAAAUGCUGAAGCCCCUGGUGAGGGGACCAUUUGUUCUAACUCUCAGCCAAGUUACAAAUUACCUGUAUCUACUACAGGUAUGGACUUUCUCCCUGCUUCUGAAGUGAGUCAUGGCAUCCUUGAGGUGGAAAAGCUAGUAUCAGAUUCUCUAGUUGAAGGAAAUGUUCUGUCUUGUGCAGAGGGUGAAGCAGGUGAUGCUCAUGAAGUAAAUACCCAGGUCUCUGGUAAUGGGAUUACAGGUUCUAAUUCUUGCUUCAAGGACAAAGUAGCUGAACCUCCUAGUGAUGUGAAGCCCCUCUCUCCCUCUGAUGAGAGUUUCAAUAUCGAGUUCAAAAAACCUGUAUUGGCUUCUCCUGUAGAGGUCAAUAUUCAGUCUUCCACCAAGGGUGAAGUAGAUGAUGCUCAUGAAGUAGGUGAUUCAGUUGCUUCUGUUGAACCUGUUUCAAGUGAAAUUUCUGCUCAGAAAAUAACUGAGGAAGUUGAUAAAAAUCAAAAACCUCUUCCUGUUUCUACUUUUGAUGGUACUGAUGAGAGUACUAUACAGUCCAACUCCAAUUUUAAUAAUCAGAGUGCAUUUGAGAUGGAAGGUAAAUCACAUGUGGCUUUGGAAGUUGCCUCUAAUGCAAAUGAUUAUGAAGAAAACCGGCUAAAGGUAUCUGCUGAAAAUUCAGGAACUGAUGAGUGUGAAGGGAAAGCUGGAUCUAUUAGUGUUUAAAAUGAUGCCAAUGCCUCAUGUUGAGGCUGUAGCAGUUCUACUGACUUGGAUUUAACAAUGCUGGAAUGGUUUUUUUGGUAGAGGGCUCUGGUGCAGAUGUGUUCCUUGACUGAGAUGGCACUAAGGCACUUUCAGGAUUUGGAGAUAAACAUCACCCCAUGCAACUUGUGAGUCAAGUCUGCUGCAUGCUAUGAUUAUCAUUUUUCCAUCAAUUUCCAAAAGAUGUUCUUGAUGCAAAUGGGAAUGGGUCAAUUUUUAUGUCAAAAGUAAAGUUCCUACCAUAUAACACCAUCCUUCAAGGUUGGGCUGGUUAUUUUGCAAAUGCUGAUUUUGUUGGUGAAAACUGUCAUGCAGCUUCCAAGUGUAUAUAUCUGGAUCUGCUGAGUUUGCAAGGUCUGAUUUUAUCUGGAUAUCCUGUAAUCUUCAUUUGAUGUUAGUAAUUCUGCUCUCGACACAACAGAGGUGGAUUAAGAUGAUUCUUGAGCAGCUCCUUCUUGCGAUUAUAUCAUUCCUAUUUGUGGAGCAGUGUUGAUGAUACACAUUGGACACAAGUUCUGUUGCCUUGGUUUUUCUUGGUUGUCUAAAAUUUUUGUGGUACAAUUGUAUAUCAUUUUCUUGAUCCUUCUAAAGGAGUGUAACUUCUGGGCUUCUCAUAGGCCUUGUAAUUUCAACUUGCUGCCUAAGUCCCCAGAACUCAGGUCCAAUUGAGCAUCCACCUCUGUGUCAUUUAGUUUUUGUUUAAGCACCUCUAGGUUGGUCUGGCCACUCAUAAUUGUUUAGAUGUUUUUGAGGCAGUAAUAAACUCAAACAUGCCAUUUAUGUAAUGCCAAGCUAUUAUUCUCAGGAGAUGUUGUAGGCAAUUAUUAGUUAAAGCUAUCUUAUAUUUCAUUACAUAGAUAGAGCUUAGAAGUUAAAUCUACUCUUUUCUUUAUUUUCCUGAAAACAUUAAUGUUUUAUUUUUUAUGCUGUUUUUAGGGCAGUGCCAAAAUUCAAUGAGGUUAUUAUGAUCUCAAAAUGUAAUUCUGCCAAGAAUUUUUGUGUAUGAUAGUAUGAUUGAAGCAUCUUUUCUUAUAUUUUUGUUACUUGAGGGCUUUGUGGGAGAACAUUGCUUCUCACUAAAUAUGAUGCUUUGUGAAGGACAAGAUAUUGCAUCUUGAACUAGAAGUAAGGUGCUCAUUGGUUAGGGUUGUGCUGGUGUCUGGGAUUAUGUUGUCAAGCCUAAACCCUAUUGAUGCCCUACCACUCCAUUACCCAUAUAGUUGGAUACACACUUAAGAUUGUUUUUGGUUCACGGCUGUUGGCGGGGUAAGGUUAGGUUGGAAUUGAUCCAGGUCAACUUGGAAUACAUGCAAGUUGGUUUGGAUUUGGGUUAUCAGUCAUGUAUAUCUUUUCCCUUCUCUAUUAAAAAUUAGAUUCUCCAGCUAGUGCUUUUCCAUUUUUUAUCUUGUGGGGAUGUCGCACUUGAUCAGGGGAUUCAUUUUGAGGCGGACGUGCAGCCAAGUAUGUUUUAGCUUUUGAUUUGCUUCUCUGGAGAAUCUAUAUAUAUGAUGGAGCUUAUACAGUUAUACUCAUCUCUCUCAGAACCUUUGAACAAAGAAGUGAGAGAUGAAACCACCAAGCCCAUAUUAAGUCUUCUGUUGAGGCCGAGACAUCAGCAUUUGCAGAUUCAAAUACCACAAGAAAAAGCCAAACACAGUUUUAGACAAGAGCUAGUUGUUGGUUGGAUGCAGGGAAAGGCAAUGGAGAUGGAAAUGUACACAGGCAUCAUACCAUACCUUUGUGGUAUGUUUAAUCAAUCAAGGCGUAGGUGGGGAUUUCAAAGGCUUAGGAUGGGAGACUUGCCUGAACCUGGUCCGAUUCAUCGGAAAUUCCGAAUUGCUGGCAUGGUAGUCAUCCUACUGAGGAAGUGGAGGAAGGAAAGCGAGGCUGGGCAUAUGGCUGAGGUGUAAUGUGCUUCUCUCCAGUUUAAAAUUAGUAGUAGUUGAAUAUGCUUAUGUAAACCAAUUUGGUAUUGCAACAACUUUUACCUAUGGUGUGGAUGUGGCAUGUGGAGUGAGAAUUUGAUUUGGCAUGGCAAUUGAUUCUUUAUUUGAUAUGGAGAGUGGCGUUUAGUUUUUUACAUCUUAUCCUUACAUGUCCAGGGAAUUUUCUCAAGACAGAAAUUGUCCAAAACAAUUUCAAUUAUCUCAAAAAAAAAAAAAAAAAAAAAUCAGCUAAAGUGUCUAUUCAAGAUAUUUUUUCUUUUCUCUCCUUACUUUUAAUAAUAUAUUUUUAUAAUAAUAAAAUUAUUUAAAAUAUAUGUUUUAUCAAACUAAUUAAUUUUAUGUACUAAACUCAAUGUAUAAAAAUAAUUAUUAAUUAAUGUGGAUGUAUUAUUUAUAAAUAUAAUAUUAUCAAUUAAUUAUUUUAUAUAUUAUUUCUAAAUAAUAAUAUUUAUAAAAAUAUAAAUUAUGUUGAUCAGUAAUGUAUUGAAAUAAUACUAUUUUAUAUUAAAUUAGAUACUAAUUAAAAAAUAUUUUGAUCUUUAUCUUGAAUUUAAUUAUUUUUACAAAUAAAAACUAAUUUUGUGUUAUUAUACAUAUUUUUUUUUUUUGUUUUCUUCAAUUAAACUAUAUCAUUUUUAAUUUGUUACAUAAAACAUUUACAAACUUGAAAAAAAGUUAAAACAGUUGUGGAUUUUAUUUUAUUCAAAAUUUUAAAAAUAAGCCUAUUAUCAGUUUUAUUUUAUUUCGAGUGUAUUAAAUUAAAAUUUUAAAAUGAAUAAUUUUUAAUUUGCUUUAAUUGUUAAAUUAAUUUUAUCAGACAAAAUUUAAAAUUUAACUAUUUUAAUCAUAAUUUGAAAACCAUUUCAAGGUAAAAAGAAUAAAAAAAAAUAGAAAAAUAAAUCAUUUCUUAUUUUAUAACUCAUUGAUAUAAAUUAAUUUUGAAUAAAAAAUUAGAUUAAGAAAAUGAAUCAUUAUUCAAUUUGAUAUAAAAUAGUAAUUACUAAUUAUUAUGAAUAAAAUAAUAAAUAAAGUUUAGAAAUUAAAAUAUUUAAUGGAACAAAAAAGUAUAAAACUAAAUUAGUUUUUAAUUUUAAAAAUAGUUUAUUAAAUUAAUUUAAAGAUAAAAUUCAAAAUAAAUACCAAAAUUUUAUUUUUAAUCAAUAUAUAAUUUAAUAUAAAAUAAUAUUUUAUUAAUAUGGGACAAUUAUAUUCAUCCUAAAUGUAAUUUAUACUUUUAUAAAUGUUAUUAUUUAUAAAUAAUAUAUCCAAAAUAAUUAUAAUUAUUUUUAUAUAAUAAAUUUAAUAUAUAAAAUUAAUUAAUUUUAUAAUACAUAUAUUUUAAAUAAUUUUAUUAUUAAAAAUAGGAAAACAUUUUAAAAAAACAAGGAAUUGUAUUAUUUAAGAAAAUUGAAAUCAAUUUUUUUUAAAGGAAAUUCUCUCAUGGAAGAUAUGGAUAUAAUCUCUUUCUAUUUUUAAAAGACGAUUUUAACUUAUAAUUUUUAUAUUUUAGAAAUCUCUAAAUAAUUUUUAUUUUUUUAAGAAAUUGUUUUUUGAUAGAGACUUUUUUUUUUAUUUAUUAAUUUGGAGUUUACAUGAUCCCUUUUUAUUAAUUUAUUUUACAAAUGAUCAAAAACCCUAUAUUUUGUAAUGGCAUCUUAAGGAAUAUUUCAUAUUUAUUUCAUUGGCACAUUUUUAUUUUCUUUUAAUAAUUUGGUGGAAUAGGUGAACUCUGCUGUAGCCUCGCUGGGUAAGCUUGGAUGGAGCUUUCUGCGCCCUCAGCCCUUCUGAGCUACUGUUCUUCGUCACAGGGCCUACAACCACUGAAAGUUAGGGACAGGGUUUCAUACCGAACUCUCGCUGCCACACGCUUGAAAGAGACCAGUCUUCUCUCACGCUUGAAAGAGACCAAUUUUCUCUCUACACCUCCUCUAAUGGAUCCCCUGAGGGUAGUCUCUUGCGCGUCAUCGGUCGAUGAGAAUGGCUCUCCGAUAAUGUCUUCCUCCAUCCGCACAGGUCAAAGCCCUAACUUUCUUUCAGUUUAGUUUGAUUUCUGUUUCGGUGCUUUGAAUUUAGCUGAUAUUGAAAAUGAUGUUAAUGUAAUUAGGUCGAAUUGGAGAGGUGAAAAGGGUUACUAAAGAAACCAAUGUAAUGGUCUCAAUGAACUUGGAUGGUUCAGGCGUUGCUCAAAAUGAUACUGGAAUCCCCUUUCUCGAUCAUAUGUUAGAUGUCAGUACUUUUAAUUUAACUUAUGUUUCUGUUAGGGAAUUUGAUUUGGUGACAUUGGUGUUCUUGUUUUUAUUAUUUAUUUAUUUUUUUCUAUAGCAACUUGCCACGCAUGGGCUGUUUGACGUUUGUGUGAAAGCGACCGGUGACACACACAUUGAUGAUCAUCAUACAAAUGAAGAUGUUGCACUUGCGCUCGGAACGGUAAUCCAUCAUAGUUUUUUGGUUAAUCGGUUCAUAUUUCUAUGCCUAUGAGAAAUUGUAUUAGCUUGGUGUAUUUUACAUACAAUCCAAAAAAUGUGUUCAUCUUAACUUUAUAUUGAUCAUUUUAUUGAUGUGUCUUUGUUAUUACAUGUUUAUUUGUAUGUGCUCAUGCUGUGCGGUACAAUCAACUUAUUAAUUCUCCCGGGACACCCUUUCCGCUAAAUGAUUUAUUAACAUGAAUGAUUUGCUUUGACUCUUGCAGAGUUUGCUGCGUGCAAUUGGUUCAAAGGAAGGCAUUUAUCGGUUUGGUGACUUUUCAGCUCCUUUAGAUGAAGCACUAAUUCACGUUUCGCUGGUAUGUUUUAUAUAUAGGGCAGAAAUUUUUGCAAUUAAAUUUGGCGUUUAUGCUUAUAUCAAUAUUGGAAAGAAAACCUAUAAAUAAAAAAGAAUAUCGAAAAGAAAACUAUUUCAUGGCUAUAAUUCAAAGACGGGUUGACUGGAGUAACCCAGAAGUGGGCCAGAUCCUUCAAAUUGUCUUUUAGAGAGUUAUAAUUAGAGGUGAAGUCUUGGCGUAUAUAAAUUGAAUAUGAAAUGGGUUCAAAAGAUAACUUCAAAACUUAGUUUUAUGAUGAGGACUUGCUUUAUCAUAUGUAGUGGACUUUUCAGAUUAAAGGGAGAGCCCUAAGUAUUUAGUGGUGAGCCUUCUGAGGUUUGAGCUUGUAGUGUUAUGUUGUUUUUGGAAGUGUGGUUGUGGUGUAUCACAUAUUUUAUUUACUUCUUUUAAAGGUUUAAUGUAUGUUCUACCGUUUUACCUAUUUAUGUUUCCUCCUUGGUUCAGGAUUUAUCUGGACGUCCACAUUUAAGCUAUGAUUUACAUAUCCCCACUGAGAGAGUUGGAACAUAUGACACUCAGGUAGUUUAUUUCCCUCCCUUCUACUUCCAUAUCAACUAGCUUAACAUUGUCAGUUGUUACUUCCUCACUAGAGGGUUUGAUGGAACAUGUCUUGCAUGGCUUUUGAUUAAAAAUACUUGUUUAGAAAAUAUUUGUUUUUACUGGCCUAUAAUUCAUUGAAUGUACCCAUUGUUGUGCUGUUUAUCAUCAUUGGUCCAUUUACUUUAGUUUUAGGCUAUGUUUGGGUCUCGGAAAAUUGUGAGGGUAAUAAAAUAGAAAGAAAAAAUAGAAGAAAAAAGAAAAUGGAGGAAAAUAAAAACUAGAUUUAAAGUCAAUAAAUUAUUUUUAUCUCUUACUUCAAAUUUAUUUCACUUAUUUAAAUUUUCUACUUAUAGAUUAAUAAUGUGAAAAUGUAUAAUUCUCUAAUAAAUUUUAAUUAUAUUUGAUUUUCUUUCGUAUUUUCCAUAAUAAAACCAACCAUGAGAAAAUCAUUUUCCUCAAAUAUUUUUUUUCUUUCCCUAGCAUUUUCCAGGAACCAAACAUAGUGUUUAGGGAUUCUGGCAUGCUUAUGAGCUAACAUGUUUUCACUGGCAUUCUUAUCUAGUGAAUGCCAAACCCCUGUAUUUGCAUAUUAUUACUAGAAAUGGAUGUAGCAUCUACCCUGAUGUUCUUUUUAGGAUAUUCUAAACAGCUAGCUAUGGAUAAUUUAACUUGACGGUGAGAAUAAAUAAAUAAAUGGUGUAGCAUUGUAUUUUGGGCUUCAUUGCCCAGCACAGCUGUAUAUUCCUUCCUAUGUGCAAGGAAAAGAAAAAGGAGCAAAAAUAAGUGCAACUAGAGAUAAUAGUAGAGUGGUAUUGCUCAAUUAGAAGGCUCUUUGGUUAACCAGUUGUUGGUUAGACAUCCAUUGCUUGAUCUAUGCCUAUUUGGUAUUCUGGAUUUUUCUCAUAAUUUUCAUGUAUGAAUUGUUCAAUGCACCCUCAUCCUUUACUUGUGGUCUUCCAAUUGGGCACUGAGUUGCUAGGUUGUGUCCUUCGUCCCUUUGGAAGUCCUUUUCCAUUCAAGCAAUGCAGUACCACCCAGAUUUUUGUUUUAGUUGCAUUCUGUUCAAAAUGAUUAGUCAUCCUGGGGUACUUGAUUUUCAUUUGCCAUGGAUAUGUUUUGAGUUGGGCAUGUUUCUUCUUGUGCAUUGUAGAUCUCAGGAAUGAUCGCUUGGAUAAUGAAGUCCAAUGUGGAGAACUGAUACAGUGGAGCAUUUGUAAAUUGUGAUGCUCACAGAUCAUAAUAAGAAAGUGAUUAGGAUGUAUUAGGCGUUGAUUCAUUAAUCCAUCAUGUCGAGCAACUAUACACUUAGCUUGAUUUAAAAACCUUCUUGUUGUUUGUACUGAAGCAGUGUUUGGUGUUUGUUUGAUACCACAUGAUUGAAUGACAUGGGUGAUGGUACCUGGUUUAUUUUAGGCACCAUCCAUAUCUGUUAUGACAUCAGAAACUCCUUUUAUUUUUGCCAGUUAAUAUCUAGUUGUGACCUUGAAUUGUUAAAAUCAAGUAUGUGCAUUCAUACAAUCAUUGGUCUUUAUAUCUAAUGUCUUAAAUUAGUGUCUCUAAGUCAUACACAUAGCAAUUAUGCCUUGAUUUGUCACAUUUAAAAGUGGGUACAGUUUAUUCAGUAGACCACAAUUCAUUUAUAACUUAACAGUAGGGUCCCAAAUGAAGGUUUGCGCAUUGAUACCAGCCUUUUUCCUUUCUCUUGUAAGUAUUCUAAGGAUAUUUUUAAUAAUGUUCCCUAACAUCUCUCCCUUGCUUGGAGAAACUUGACUCAGGUGAGUAAAAUAGAUAUACCUCUCAUAAGGGUCAAAAUUGAGACCCCAAAAUUCAUUAAAGCAAUCUAAGUGCAGUCAGAAAGGCUAAAUGGCAUAAUCAACUAUUCAUAGAAACAAUCCUUCGUCUUGAAAACCAUUUUCCAUUCAUACCCGAGCCUUAUCUUAUCCUAACUCAGUGAUAACCACUAUUCAAAUAAGCGUUUGAAAGAUUGUGAAAUGUGUCAUUAAUGUCUAAUAUAUGAUCAAGUUGAUGUAUUGUAAAUAUGUAGUUGAUAUUAACCUAGUUUAUAGCAUGCCAUCAACAUACAUGUGUCACGUGCCAACUAUCAUCCUUUUUAGGUGUGGGCAAAGUUGGUAUGAUACAUGGGCUAAGAGUAGGUGGUGUUUGUUUUUUUGGCUUUUUACUAAAAGCAAUUUGUUUUCAGAAUUUAGGUUGUUUGUUUUUCUACUUUUUCAUAACUUAUUAUAAACUUUUUACUAAAUAGAAAAAGUCAAAAUAUGUAGCUUUUUCUAAAUAGAAAAAAUAACAUAUUGAUUUUUCUUUACUUUUUAGUACUUAAUAGAAAUAAAAUAUUACAAAAACAAACAACUUAAUAUUUAACACUAUUAAGCAUUAAGGUUCUAUUUAGAUAUAAGUAAAAAAACAAACACCACCUAAGACUUACCUGAAUAAACCCUUUAAAAAGCAACUCCUCAACUUGCCUUUUUUACUCUCUGCAUUCUCUAAGGGAUUUAGAAGGUAUGCUGGUUGGUUAGAUAACUGAGAAUCCUACAGCAAUUCAAUGGCAUGGCUAGCACUAAAAAUUAGAAUCUUCUAAGAUUCAAAUCCUUCAAUUUUAAGGUGAUCUUGCCCUUCACAUCCUUCUUGUACCUAAAGCUGCAUGUUUGUUGAGUUAAGGUUAUAGGGGCAUCAUCUACAUAUAUAUAAUUUUUUAAAAUUUGAAAUUUGCUGCAUCUAACUCUCCAUGAUAGGGCCCAUAUGAUCAAACUUUGCUUGUAUGUUCACAUUUAGGACAUCUAAAAAAAAUCAUACCUAAUCUUAGGUAUUGGAUUCUCAUUUGUUUAUCCUUUUAAUUUAUCUAAUGAAACUCAUUGAUUUUUAUCAUAUUUAGUUGGUGGAGCACUUUUUCCAGUCUUUGGUGAAUACUUCAGGCAUGACACUUCACAUUCGACAGGUAUAAUGAGAGUUUCCUAACAUUUAUUGUAGCAAAUAGUAACUCCUCCAAAUAUUCUUGUUAAUUUAGAAAGAAAACACAUCUCCAUUCAAUGGUCUUCAUACUCCUUGAACUUUUUUUCGGAUCAAUUAUAUGUACUUUUACUGACUUUUAUUACAGUCUGAAUUGUGAAAAUUAUUCUAGGAAAUAUUGAGCAUGCUUUCAGCCAUUUUUAGACCUUUUUUUAAUACUUCUUAAUGAUUUCCUUAGGUAGCAACUUAAACGGAUUUACUGAAAUAUUUCCGUAGUCUUUCUACACAAGUUUGACAGAAAAUUUCAAUGUGGUUGAAUGUAGCUUGCUGGAAAAAAUUCUCAUCAUAUUAUUGAGGCAACUUUCAAGGCUUUCGCUAAAGCUCUUCGACAAGCUGUGGAAUAUGACCCACGCCGUCAUGGCACUGUGCCAAGGUUUGGAAUUUUCUUGUUUUAAAUUGACAUAACAUCUCCUUUGAACACCUAUUAAUCCCUAGCAAAGGGUUUCUAUACAAAUCCUGAUACUUUUGAGUCUACAAAAUCACUGGACUGGUUUCAUUAUUGAAUACUUUGAAAUGUAUGACUACUUGGUGUUAAACAUACCACCUGCUUCAGAAUCAAUUAUUUGGUUCCUCAUUUCCAUUUUUCACCUUUGGACUUGCAUAUAAAAUAUGCAUUUUUAAUUGUUAGAAACCACCUCAUAUUUCCUUUAUGACCCAGUUAUUUUAUCUUCCAAUUCUAUGCUAUCCACAUUUCGAGCUAUUGAAUUUGAGGCAAUAUGUGUAUACCAACAGUCUUCUGAAAUAUAACAGCAAGUUCACUAGAAAAAUGACUUAGUGCUCCCAGUCAUUUGUUAAUAUUUGUAUUGGUAGGUAUUCUUUUAGCAUAUUUACUACCCACUCGGUAGAACUAUUUGGAGAAGAUGAUUGUGCUGUCUGUUCAGUACAGUAAUCUCUUCUCACAUUUAUUUGAAAUAACUAUAAAUGUCAUCAAUUUAUAAUUAUGUAUGGCAUAUAAUACUCCACCUGAAAUUGUGAAGCAUAUGUGUGCAGCUCAAAAGGGGUUCUUACGCGUUCUUGAUUUGUGGAGAUCAUGCUCAUGGAGGAUCAUGCUACAAGCAUCCAGAUUCGUCUUGAUGUUUUCUCAUAGUUUUGGACCCAUAAAGAAAUUUAUCAGAUUCGGUGCAAACUUCAAGAGGCAGACAGUUGCUUAACAUUUUAGUAAUUGAAGUAGUGAUAGUGCAAUAUUAAACAAUAAAUUCCUCUUAAAUGUAUUUAGAUUUUUUGGUGUUCCUGUAGGAGAAACUUGUCGGUGUGAAUGUAUAAAACCUAGGUUGCUUGUAAAAUGGCUUUACUCUUUUGUAUCAGCAGUUAAUUUUAUGGUUUUUGAUUAACUAUUGCUGAUCAUUGGGUGCAGUAAUUUGGAUUUGCCUGAGUUGACAGGCUGUGGGUGAAAUUGAGUUGAGUGGAAUUUGAGCUCAUGAACUAAAACUUUGUGUUUACUUUGGCUGUAGGAGUCUCUUUGCACUGGGAAUUCUUCAUACUCUCAUUGAUUAUGAUUCAUUUGCUGAUAUUAAACUGCCUUGCACAAUGAUUUUGAAUACAUAUAUAAAGAUAUGUGGACCUCAUUGAUACAAACAGUUCCAUUAAAACAAAGCAGUGGAAAUUUUUUAUUUGAUACAGAGUAGAUACAUCGAAGUAUAGCAGGCUAGAUUUGCCAUCCUUGACUGUUGUUCUGGACUUAAUGCAACUAUGCAUCUCAUGGCAAGAAACUCAGGCUACAAAAAUUCUUCAGCUGUGUUUAAAUCAUCCAAUAUUUCAGACUUGACCUCUUCUGGGAGUGCAGCAGAUGGGCCUGCCUUUGAGUAGAAGCUGGCUAAAGACCUGAUUGCUUUCUCUAGCAUAGCAUACGAUUCCUGCAAGUGGGAUCACUAGAUCAAGGAUAUGAAGCAAGCAACUAUAAAUUAUUAAAAUUUCAACAGUCUAACAGUUCAUACUUACCAUAAAAUAAAAUUAAAAAAAAAAAUCUAAUUAUCUUUUUAUUAACAUAUUUUAAGUAGGAGCAGUAGAUUUUCUACACAAGUGCCUUUCGAAUUUCCUCUGUAAAGACCUUUCAACUAUAGUAAGUUAGCAAUAUUUCAGAAAGUUUACCAAUCGAUACUAGACAAAACAUGGGUUCAAUAUAAUACCUAAAAAUGGAAAGGUUGACUACUUCAUCAGAAGUAACGCAAGCCUGACAUGAAAGCGUGAUUAUGGUUCUAAAUGGUUACUUCAGUAGAAAAGUUUAAGGGGUGAGUUAAAUAUGUUCCUACUUUUCUACCAAACUGAAUAAUGUUAGCCUCCACAUGUGAUAUGGAUCGUUAGGGUUGCAUCUAGUGAAGAAAUGCUAUUCCUGCUCAUGGACUGCAGAAAGUCCAUGUGUUCAAUAUAGAUUAGAAGGUUUCAAACGAUACCUAGACUCCAAAAGACAUGCAUUGUUACCUCAUUUCCUAAUCUUUCAGCAAAGUGUUCUGUUCUUGUAUGAUAAGCAGUUGAUGAUAACUGGAGAGAGCCUUUAUACUAAAUCAAAAAUAAAAAGGAAAAAGAAAUGAACAUAUAAUGAAAAAAAAAAAAAAAAAACUGUAGGGCACAAGGACUGCUAAUUUAUAUCAAACAAGAUGGAAAUCUCAGUAUAGCCUUUAAACAAGUUUGUAGUUCAAAAUAUCAGUAUCAACUUGAUUUUGUAACAGGGCAGGUACCCUGAAACAGAAAAUUACCAACCUUGUGAAUUUUUUGCAGCAAUUAGAUUAAAAAUAGGUCCAAAUCGGCUUUAUCUUUUUAGAGCAUGCCACAAUAAUACUGGACCCUGAACUGCAACAUUGCAAGAUGCCUAUAAUACCAGAACAGUUAUCCUUCCUUAUGAAGAAUAAACUUACAUGGAGAACCGUAACUACAGGAAUCCACCUUAAAAACCAAAAAUGUUUUUGUAAGAUGCAUACCUCACUGACUACUGUCUGCUUCCCUCUCCAACUGCUCAAAUACUCUCGGAUUGACUCCUUUGCUGCGUCUGCAGUUCGUCUAAAUUUAGCAAUAUCCUUAGGGUCUUCCUUUAAUGACUCUCGUAGUGUCUUCACAACCUCCCUUGCUGAAUUCAAGUAAGCCUUUGGCAACACUUUUCCUGAUUUUAUUUUCUCAUUAGGAUCAAACAAUGAUUUAAUGGCCCCAACAACACCUUUUUCAUCAUCUUCUUGGCCAUUUGACUCAUCUUCAGCCCAUACUGGCAAUGGCAAAAAGCCACCAUUGAAAGUUAGAAUGGCCACCAGUGAAGCACCACUACCUACUAAAACAUGGCGCCGACUGGAUGGAGAUUCUUGUGAAGGUAGCACAAUGUGACACCUGGAUUUCAGUUUAUCUGUUAUGUCGCAGAAAAACGGUCAAGAAAGACAGGAGGAGCAACUCAGAACAACUGCAUCAAGGAUGGUAGCAAAUGAAGACAUUUUUACUAUUUAAUUACUACAAAAAGAAAAUAAAUAACGGGAUGCAUGGAAAAUAAUGCAUGAAUUAGGAUAUCAGAUAGGCAGAGUUGCCAAAAUAUGAUGCAAGUGGUCUGAUGUUUAUGCUUAGAACUGUCCUUCAGCAGGCAAACAAGAAUAGCAGGCAUUUGUAAACCAAGAUGGAUUAUCCGUUACGAGGAACAAUGGUGAGAAUUAAACUCUAGACUGACAAUGUUACAAAAUUAUUUAUUCAAUUUUCACUGCAGGUAUUGUUGGGAGAAAUAACCAAUCACUCUAUCGAUUAUGUAUAUCAUCAGAAACUCAGAAUAUACAUUGGUAAAAAUGAAUUCCAAUUUUUGAUAAAACAAUGGAGAGAACUCCACCCCACACUACAGACAUUAUUAAUGCAGGAAAAUACAUACUUACAUUCAUGAAUAUAUGAGUUUUUCUCAAUUGGUUUAGGAAUCAUUGGGGAGCAUAUCUUCAUUGCAAGAAAGACAGCCAUCCUUAACCUUAAUCCGAGUCAAGUAGCUAUAUCCAGUGCAUCCUACACAAAAACAGCCAGCCAAUAAGCACAAAUCUUUGUUUCAACUACAGAGUUAACAUUUUGUUCACAUAUUCUCUAAGAGAUACAAAUAACUUCCAAAGGCGAGAAAUUAAAGCCCUAAUUUCUUGCAAAAUACAUGUAAGUUCACCAUCCUUCCCAGAUUUAACUUUCAAAUGAUCCACAGCAUCCCAAAGUGAGAGUUGUAACUUUACCCAUCAUUCUUUUCCCUUGAGUUUCAUUACUUACCUUUCAUUCAAAUAAGAUUAAUUUGACACCAUACCAACCCCAAAACCCCACAAAAAACUUCUGAAAACCCAGGAGCCCUUUAAUUAGAAACAAAAAAAAAAAAAGGACACAUAUGAGCAGAAUCAAUAAGACGAAUAAACACAAUGUUGGUGAAGAGAUUCCAAAUUCUUCGUAAGCAUAAGGGCAUGCAAAACACAUAAAUAAGAAGAAGAAUUAAGCACAAAAAUUGGUGUACAGAGUUUGAUACCUCACAUACUCCUCUUGCCCUUACUUUCUCUGCCUCAGCUUCUGGGCUUUUGAUUCGUUUUAUCCAAAAAGGCCGCGUGAGGGGCUUCUCUUAAAAGAAGGGUAAAUGAGUCAUUUCGUCUAUCAAAUCGCAAGAACCAUCCAACGGCUCUUUUCGCCUUCAGAGAACGGGUCCCACGGAAAAUACGGUAGUCCCGCGCAACACUCGAUAACCUCACUCUAGGGUUUUGGGUUUCCCCUUCCUCAUCCUUUAAAACCACGGCUGCAUACUUCCGUAGCCCUUUCUCUCACCUUUGAGCCCUAAUCCUAACCCUAGCCAUGGUGAGUGGGCUUGUUUUCAUUUCUGUUAAAUCAAUUCUUGUGUCGAAUAUGGUUGUUUGUUGUUAUGUUAAUGAAUUGGAUUUUGCAGUCUCUUGUUGCAAACGAGGAAUUUCAGCACAUUCUUCGUGUGCUCAACACCAACGUCGAUGGGAAGCAGAAGAUCAUGUUUGCCCUCACUUCCAUCAAGGGUAUUGGUCGCCGUUUCGCCAAUAUCGUCUGCAAGAAAGCCGAUGUCGACAUGAACAAAAGGUCAUUUUUUUUCAUCUCUCCACGUUUUAAACUUCAUAUGGAACUCGGAUCUAGGAUUUAGCUGAAUCAGAUAUUCAUACAUACGAUAUGAACAUAUUAGCAGUCUGUAUUCUUAAAUUUGAGCUGUGGAAUCAUGGUUUUUUAUGGGCUAAUUUAAUUUAACUUUGGGAUAAUUGGUUGUUAUCUCUUUCCAAAUGAAAUAGCGCACAAUCUCAGGAUAAAGGGAUUGUAUAUCGACUCUUUUGAAACUCUGGAUGGGUGGUAUUGUUAAGAUAAAAAUGAACAUUGUUCGAUUAUCUUUUUUUGAAACAUCGGAAAUCUGUUGAUGGGAAUCGGGAAUUCCUGUAAAUUCAACUGCUAAUUAGUCCUAAAAUUUUAUUUUUUGAACUCAAAAUGAACAUGAGCUGCAUUUGCUCUCUUUGCAUGUUUGAAACAUUGGAACUCUAUGGUGCGUGCUAGAAUCUUUUUCUCAGUUCAGAGACUUGCAAAACCCAAAUUUCUAUAUUGUUUUAUGUCAUCAUCGGAAUUGAAUUAACUUACAUGCUAGUUUGGUAGUAGAUGGAUUUUGGUCUCUACUUUCUAUUCUUAUUCUUUGUUAUAUUUGAAUUUUUGGCAUUACUAAAAUUUUCUAAAUGGUUUACUUUAGAGCUGGUGAACUAUCUGCUGCUGAGCUCGAGAACCUGAUGGUGAUUGUGGCGAAUCCUCGUCAGUUUAAGAUCCCUGACUGGUUUCUGAACAGGAAGAAAGAUUACAAAGAUGGUAGAUAUUCUCAGGUUGUUUCUAAUGCAUUGGACAUGAAGCUCAGGGAUGAUCUUGAGCGUUUGAAGAAGAUCAGGUAAUCCAUCCUUUUUUCAUCUAUUACUUUUAUCACUCUUUGAAGAACAUGGUGCAAUUUUUUUUUCAUAAAUUCCUAAAGUCAUCAAAUUUGCAUUUUGGAUCGAAUUGAACUAUCUUUGUGGCUAAAUCUCUAAAUUUGAUUCAUAGUGGUUAUUUCCCUGGGAGAAUUUAGGUGUUAGAUUUGAAGUUUCAUCAAUGGUGUUGUUUUUCUCAUAAAUGCUUGGAAACAUUUGACUGAACACAGCUUCUUGCUUACAUUUUGAUGCUCUUUGCUCCAUCCUUCUGUGAGAAGACUGAAAAUUUAGAAUAACUUUUUUAUGUUUAACAUUUGCAAAUAUUGUUUUAUGUUUUCUAAAACUUUGUCCCUCUAUUUAGUUGUUGCUCAUAAGGCAGACCAGAUAACCCCCACAAUUCAAUGCCUUAGAUGUUUGAUAUGUCAAUCUUGUUGAGUUUGCUUUUCUGUUUUGGCUAACAAUUUUCUUUAUCUAUCAAUAAUAAGAUGAUGAUUAUAUAUGAGCUUGGCUACUAAGGCAGCAACAAUUCUUUUAUUCAUUUUUCUCAAUUUCUCUUUUGCCCCUCUAUUUAAAGUGUUAAUUGGAAUUCACUUGAGCCCUUAAAAGGGUUUUAACCAUACCAGGACUUAAUAAAAAAAAACCUAUGUAAUUUAUACCGAAAGCCUAAAAAGCAUAAAACUCAUUAAAAUUCAUCGAAUAUUGGAGCUUAAGCCUCUUAUAAUUAGAUAUCAAGGGCCCACAAAGGCCAUAAACCCAUUAAAACCAUUUUGAUAUCUACGGCUUAAGCUGCAACAACCUUGAGGCCAUAGUCUUAAGGCUAUGAGCCUCGACAAGGUGAGGCUUAAGCCUCAAUUACCAUAAAUGAGGUUAUAGGCUCUAGGCUAAUUCUUAGAGCCUAGCCUCUAGACUAAUUUGUAGAGCCCCACCUUGAGGUAAGCCUUAAGGCAUAAGCCUCGAUAGCCUUUUAAAACACAAGUCAAGGCUUAAUAAAUUUCAUCACUAUUGAUUUUGAGUUUACAAUGUUAAAAGAACUAUAGCAACACACCGCUCUGAAUUGUUUUUAAAAAUUUAUUUUUUGUUAACUGCUCGUGAGCAUUGCCUACUUAUUUUCACUGCAUAUGUAUCCAUCUGUUUAUAAGAGGUGAUAGGGGCAGUUAACACUGAUAUCAUUUUCAAUGGACAGGAACCACCGUGGUCUUCGACACUACUGGGGUCUACGUGUACGCGGACAACACACCAAGACAACUGGCCGCAGAGGGAAAACUGUUGGUGUCUCAAAAAAGCGUUAAAUCUCCCUUUCCUGGAUUUCCUGUUCCUCCUGCGAAUUUUGUUUGCUUUCCAAUUUUUCUCAAGUCCAUCAUGUCUCUAGUAUGGUUGUUCAGGUGAAUGCAUAUGGUAUUCCCGUUUCACUUAUCUUUCAUCAGUGUUCUCCUCGAUUGCUUGAUAGUUAUUCAAGAGAGGGUUUUGAUAUGGUAUCCGGUUACAUUAUUCGCUACUGUUAGUGAUAAAAGAGGUCUCUGGAUUUGAAUGUUCAUUCAUUCACAUGUUGAUUUUGGAUUAUUCAUUCUUGCAAGCACCUUCACUCACAAUUCAUAUAACGGAUUGUCUCUACUUAGUUGGUUCUUGUUGGUGUAACCUCACGCAGGGUGGCUUCCAUAGAAAUUGUAGAUGGGUCAAAACGCAUCCCACUCGGAAGGUUUGCCUUACAGAAUGCUUACAUGAAUGUAAAAAUUCUGCGACUUAUAUUAAAAACAUAAUGGUUUUUAUUUUUAAGAAUAUAUGAUAAAUCCUACAUAGCAGUUCUUAUAUUUUAUAUAUAAUUUAUAAUUAUUUUUUGUUUUUAAAGAUAAAUAAUAAAAAAUGUAUUCGAACAAAGCACUUUUUACUUUAUUUUGUUUUUGAAUUUUUUUAUUAUAAUCUUUUUUCAAGUCAACUCUUCAAUAGAUAAAUAAAAUAUUAUUUUGUUUUUGUUAAUAUGGACAAUAGAUUGUUUUAAGGUGUUUUUAAAAUCUUUUGUCAUAAUAAAAUUCUUAUCUUCAUAUUUGUAGAGUAAGGAUUUUUUUAAUUCUUUAAAAUAAUAAAAAUUUAAAAUGUAUGUCAUUUCUGUGAACUAUGAAUAUUAAAAACAUUUUCUUUAUGUUAUGUAAGAAAUAAUUUAGAGAUGAUCCAAAUGUUUUAUUAAGUGUCUUUGGAUAUAUUUCUUAUUGUUUUUAGAUGAAUAGAAUUUAUAAAACAAGGUAUGGAUGCAUAAGUUUAAGAGCCAUGAUUCUAAAUAUUCGUGCAAACACAACACAAUAAUAUUAUUUGAAGAUAACGUCGCAUACAUUAGAGAUGAAAGAAGAUCAUAUUAAAAUAAAUAGAAUCAAACAUAGUUCACCAUUAAUACCACCAGGCAAAAAUUGACAGUAUCUUCUAUUAUGUAUGCUCUAUGAAACCCUACUUCUUCCAUGAUAUGUUCUUUUAUACACAAAUUUCAUAAAAGUGGUAGAAUUGAUAUUCAACAAAUAUAUUCAAAUGAUUACCUAAUAAACAUAUUUGUAAAGACGUUAUCAUUUUAACAUUCAAAAAAUUAAUACAUAAUAUUAUAAUGCAUCAACUCAAGACUUUUUCUUAUUGAACUUUUGAGGAAAGCAUACUCUUGUGUCAGUAUGAGGGGUGGUAUAUUUAUAAAAGAAACAUAUGCAAGGGAUGUAAGCACAUUGGAUUUUUCUUUAUUCAUGUUUUCUCUUAUUAGGUUUUUCUCAUAAAGUUUUUUUGUACUCCUAAUUUAUUGAAACAUUAAUAAGAAUAUUGUAUUUUUUUUUCUUUCGCUAAGUUUUUCUCAUAAACUCUUUACUAGCAAGGUUUGUUGCAAGUUUUCUUGUGUAACAAUCUAUAUAAGUUAGAAUUUUGAUUGUUAACUAAACUAGACACAUAAUUGCAAGCAUAAAAUAAGGAAAAGUAAGAGAUUUUUAACAUGAUUCGGCAAUUAAUGUGAUUUUUACAUCUAUAAAGUGCAACAACGCUCAAGAAUUCAUUAAUCAAACAAACAAGAAUGGGUAUAAUGGUGAAGCUCUUACUCUCUUCUCAAUUGUGGUUACAUUCUAUUUUUUUUUCUCUAUAUAAAAAAAUAAAAGCCUAAAUUAUAAGAGGGUUAGAAUAUAAUAGGGCCAAAUUCAUCAUUCAAUAAAUAAAUAAAUAAUUCCAAAAGGCGUUACCCCCUUAAACCCCUAUGAGUUUGUUGGGUAAUUCGAUCCCCACAAGCUCAAUCAUAAGCUUGACCCUCGACAUCCCUUACGAAGCACAACAAGAUCAAUUUUGGUUUCAUAAUUCAACAAUCUUCCACUUGAACACUAAAACACAAGUAAGCAUUCUCUUUCAAUUAUUAAUAAGUAUAGUACGCUCAAACAACCUGUACUCACCAUUGGCCCGCCAAAACUACGCACAACUCCAGUUUCUUUAUUAUCAUUGUUUUGGUCAACAUGUCAGUUGAAUUCUUCCUAUCUUGUAUCCUCACAAGUGUUAACACUCCAUCUUCAAGCAAAACUUAAUGAAGUAAUAACAAAAUACUAUAUGUUUAGUCUUGAAAUGAAAUGUUGAAUUUUUAGCCAAAUGUUUUCCAUUUUGGCUAUUACUAUACAAAACUUUCAUUACCCAUUUGACUCCUAACUUUGCCAACAAACUCACCAACCAAAUAAUCUUUUUGCUAGCUUAAUAAUUGUAAACUUUCUAAGUUUUGAUUAAGAGAGAUGACUUGUUCUUAAAUUUUGAUUGCAUAAUUUUGAAUCAGUUCAAAUUUUCUUUGUGUAACAACCACAUACUCUAUUUCAAUUGUAGGUUAAACAACAAUCUUCUACGAUUGAGAAAUCUAACUAAUAGCAAUAAUACCCAAAGUGAACAUGUACCUUACAAUGCUUCUUCUACGGUCUAUCUCACCGACAAAACCAGCAUUCACAUAUCCUUGCAAUUUCAACUCACCACUUCUGAAGCAUUAACACUUUUUCUAUAAUACAAGUAACUAAGUAUUCAUUUCAAUACUUCCCAAUAUUGCUUACCUAGAUUUGACAUGAAUCUAAUCGUAAUGAGACACCAUAGCAUACAUCAAACUUCUAAUGGCUAAGGCACCUUAGCCAUGAAGUCUUUUUCCUCGUCUAUUUGUGGGCAAUGCUCCUUAGACAAGUUGAAGAGAUUUGUUAAAGAUGUUCUAACUACCUUAACAUCACUCAUGUUGAACAUUUACAAUAUCUUAUGAACACACUUAACCCAAGAUAACAACACAGUGUAUGUUUGUUUGUCUUUACUAAUCCUCAUCCUAAGUAUAUACUUUAUUGCAAAGUCCUUCGCCUCAAACUCAUUGGACAACUGUUUCUUCAAUUUGUUGAUUUCAUCUAAAUUUACACUAACUACUAACAUAUCAUCAACAUGAAGUAGCAAAAUAAUGUAAUUAGAAUCACUCAACCUUCCUGAGAUAACAAAAUAGUUUGCAUUGCACCUAAGAUAUCCAUUAUUUUGCAUGAAAUCAUUGAACCUUUUAUACCACUAUCUCGGGAUUUGUUUUAACUCAUAUAGGCUUUUUGUCAAUCUACACCAGAUUUUAUUUACUUUUCACUACAAAACCCUCUAGCUACUGCAUAUAUAUUUCCUUUUCCAAAUCACAAUGGAGGAAGUUGUCUUCACAUCUAAUUGCUAAAAAAAGUAAACUCUCUGUUGCUACAAUACUAAAAAUAAAAUGAAUAAUAGUAAGUUUUACAAUUGAAGAUAAGAUGUUUGUGUAGUCAAUCCCUUAUUUCUAUUGAAACCCAUUGACUAUCAAUCUAACCUUAUAUCUAUUAGAGCCAUCAUACUCUUGUUUAACUUGAUACGCCCACUUAUUAUGACAAGCUUUCUUAUGUACUCAUACCUUAGCUAGCUUUCAAGUUUUGUUAGAAAUAAGAGACUUUAUUUCAUAUUUCAUUGCAAACUCCUACUUACUAGUAUUUUCCACCUGACAAGCCCCAUCAUAAUAUUAGGUUCACCACCAUCAAUUAAUAGCAAAUCAUCCAAAUACUUCAUAUUUGAUACAUAUUAAGCCAGAUGAUGUCCCACUAAGUAGUAUGACAAAUAAGACAAGCCAUAAUCAUUAUAUUGAGGAAAACAUUGCAUAAGGUGUUUUCAACUUGUACUAGAUUAGUGGUUGGGUUGCAUCUCUAUCCUUAUGCAAGACUUUCUCAUUUAAUAUGACAUCUUUGUUUUGAACCACUUUCUUAUUCUAGUCAUCCCAAAACUUAUAAGCAAACUAAUCAACACCAUAACUAAUGAAAAGUAUAUUUUAGCAAUUUAACAUCAAGUUUGUUUUUUCCAUGAUCACUAAUAUGUGCAUAUAAGACACAACCAAAUACCUUCAAAUGAGAAAGCUUUACCUUUCUUAUAGUCCGUACUUCUUCUCGUAUUUUGUGCUUUAAUAGUGUUGAUGGUCUUGGAUUGAUCAAGUUGUUCUAUUGAUUGCUCUUGCCCAUAACUACUUUGGCAACCUUGUCCUAUAUAUACAUGUUUCUAGCUCUCUUAGUCAGUGUCUUGUUCAUUCAGUCUACUAUAACAUUUUGUUAGGUUGUUCCUAGCAAAGUCUUCUCCCAUUUAUUUUCAUUUUCAUAACAUAUAUUCUUGAACUUAGAGCCUCAUACUUCCCACCAUUAUUAGACUAUAAAUUCUCGACUGUCAUACUCAUUUCAUUAUCCACUAUUGCUUUCUAUCUCUUGAAUACAUCAAACAUCUUUGAUUUGUGCCUCAAAAAAUAUACUCAAACUUUCCUUGAAUGGCCAUCAAUGAAGGUCACAAAAUAAGAUCUUCUACCAAUUGAUGAAAUUGAAGUGAGUCCCUAAACAUCUAUGUGAACUAACUUAAGUCUUGCUUCUUUUAGAGUUCUUAUAACCUUCUUAAAGCUAACUCUUCUUUGUUUCCCAGAUAUAUAGCUUUUACGCAUAUCAACGUGAAUUAACUUUAAACACGAUACCUUCUCAUUCAAGUGCUUAAUUUCUAACCCCUUAGUACUCAUGUGGUUGGGCCUCAAAUGCCACAGAUUCAAAUCUUCUGUGCUCCCAACAAUUGUAAUAAACUUACAUCUAUUUGUUGUCAUGUAAAGAGUACCACUUUUCUUGUCACAAGCAACAAUCAUCGCUUCUCAUGAGAUUUUCCAUAUGCUACCUGCAAAAGUUGUUAGAUAGUUAUCUUUCACCAACAACCCAAUAGAAAUAAGAUUAUUCCAUAAGUUUAAAACACGCCUCACGUUAUAUAGAUUCUAUACAAACCCAUUCAAUUUGAUAUGCACUUCACUUUGCUAAUAAGAUCGCGCAUAUCGUAAUGACCUAGAUACAUUUUUACCAAAUUACCUAAGACAUUCUCAAAUAAUUUUUUACUUGAGGUUGCAUGAAGCGAUGCCCUUGAAUCCAACACCCACAAUUUUGCCUGGCUCUCUAAAGAGAAAAUAAAAGCAUUAUCUAAUUAUUUCAACACAACAUUUGCAGUAGUUUUGUUGCCACUAUCAUUAUCCUUUCUUGUCAACCUUGAAUUCAUUAUGAUAAUAUCUUGUUUUUGCAGCUUUUGUUGUUGUUGGAACUAUGUGGUAUGGUUCAACAACUACCCCAAUCGAAUUACCACAAUGCCAACAUUCAAUAUCUUUCUUACUCUUCCAUUGUUGGGAAUUUCUUGAUUUUAACCUAUUUUCCUAACAAGAGAUAAAAAAUUUUAUGACAGAUUAUUCUCCAUCUGUAUCUUCUAAAAAGAAAAAUUCGUGCCAUCAAAUUUCUUGAUUUUGUAUGAAUCUUUCUUUGAUUUUGUUACUUUUGCUUAAAUGAUGAUUAGUCGAACAUGUCAAGCCUAUGAUUUGUGAACCUAGGUGCUUUGAUACUAGUUGUUAACCAAACCACACUGAUCGCUCAGAUUUUUUGUCGUUUGUUGGAUCAAAACAAAAUUUAUAACCUAAUUCACUCUUCUAUAGCAAUUUGUACCCGAUCAAAAAUUGGCUUUAGUACAAACUACUGUAGCAUAGUGGUUUUUAGGUAUCGUCCACAAGGAUGGAUUAUUCUUGGUGAUUAAGGCUUGAAUGAGAUGAUAAGAAGUGAUUGUGAAAAAGUGAAAUCAACUUGAAAUUGCAUGAUAAAAUUCCAAAUUAACAAUGUAUUCAAAUUGAAUUGAAAAUGAAGUUUAAAAGAGAAGAAAAUUUAUAAGAGGUGAGAUUCUCGGAGUUAGGAUUUUCUAGAGAGCAAUUUCCAUGGUGAAUGGGUGUUAAGAUCUAAUUUUCAUCAAGUUAGAUUGAAAACCUAAAUUUUCAUCUAAACCGAUUUUUGAUUUAACUUUAGNNNNNNNNNNNNNNNNNNNNNNNNNNNNNNNNNNNNNNNNNNNNNNNNNNNNNNNNNNNNNNNNNNNNNNNNNNNNNNNNNNNNNNNNNNNNNNNNNNNNNNNNNNNNNNNNNNNNNNNNNNNNNNNNNNNNNNNNNNNNNNNNNNNNNNNNNNNNNNNNNNNNNNNNNNNNNNNNNNNNNNNNNNNNNNNNNNNNNNNNNNNNNNNNNNNNNNNNNNNNNNNNNNNNNNNNNNNNNNNNNNNNNNNNNNNNNNNNNNNNNNNNNNNNNNNNNNNNNNNNNNNNNNNNNNNNNNNNNNNNNNNNNNNNNNNNNNNNNNNNNNNNNNNNNNNNNNNNNNNNNNNNNNNNNNNNNNNNNNNNNNNNNNNNNNNNNNNNNNNNNNNNNNNNNNNNNNNNNNNNNNNNNNNNNNNNNNNNNNNNNNNNNNNNNNNNNNNNNNNNNNNNNNNNNNNNNNNNNNNNNNNNNNNNNNNNNNNNNNNNNNNNNNNNNNNNNNNNNNNNNNNNNNNNNNNNNNNNNNNNNNUAAAAAGGACACUUGGCAACAUUAUAGAGGUCUUUCCGGAUGCUUUUUUCAUCAAGGAAUCUGGAGAGAAAUGCCCUUUCGCACGAGCCCCAAGUGAUCCCGCAUGAUGGUGCGAAGUGAAGAAUCAAUCAGCUGGAAUUUCGUUCUUCUGGAGCGUUUCGCAUGACUGUGCGAAAAUUUCGCAUGGUCAUGCGAAAUCACUUCUUCACAAUUUCCUCAUAUGCUGCAGCCAUACUCUCUCUGUUUCAUUUCGCAUGAUUGUGCGAAAAUUUCGCAUGGUCAUGCGAAAUCGAAAAUCAUGCUAUUCCGGUUCUUCUUUGCAAAUUCUCUCAUUUGUUCAUGUUUAAUCCAUCUCCACCACCUUCAAUUAAGCUCCAAAGCUUGGUCCAAGUGCAUUUCCUCUUCCUCUUCAUCCACAUUAUGUAUCCUCCUCCAUUCCAUUUUCCAUUUGUCACUCCAUGCUUCAAAAAUCACCUUAAAAUAUCUCCAAAACUCAACAAAGAACCAUUAGAAUCUCUUGCAAGGGUAGCAAUGUAUUACUUGGGCAUAUUAGGCAUAAUUACUACUCAAAAGGUGUGAAACUCAUGAAAGUUAGUAUCUAAAAUAUGUGGUUUUUGAGUAGUAAUCAUUCCCCCCAACCAACACAUUGCUAGUCCCUUAGCAAUGGUAUAACAAAAAGAAAGAGAAAAUUACUCAAAAAGAAAAUCCUACACUCAUUUGGAAAAUGUGUUUGAAAAUCCCAUAGCACAAAUGCUCAUAAAUGAAACACACCUCACCAUCCAUAGGUGUCACCAAAAUCUCAAGCUCAUUUACUAUCUCUAAUAGAAAAGACAUCAUGCAAAUCAAAGUGUCAAAGAUAUAUCCAUUUUCAACUCCCCAAAAUGAUAUUUCCAAACAAGUCUUGAGUGAAAUUAAACUAGCCCCCUAAUAUAUUAUUCAAAACUAUUCCUCCCCCUAACCAUGCCUAAUUUAUCUUAAGCAACAAAAACCACUCUUUCAUAGGUCAAGAACGCACCUUUUUUUUUUUUUUUUUUUUUUUUUUUUUUUUUUUUUUUUUUUUUUUUAUGAAAGAUCUAAUUGUAGGAAUGCAAUGCUAAAGGUAUCUCCAAGUAUACGGUCCAUGUAGCGGGGAUUCAUCGAUGACUCCCAACCAUAAGGCAUAGGGCACCAAGUUUAUAGGACUAAUUCAGCCACUAACUCCUCAGACUUCACNNNNNNNNNNNNNNNNNNNNNNNNNNNNNNNNNNNNNNNNNNNNNNNNNNNNNNNNNNNNNNNNNNNNNNNNNNNNNNNNNNNNNNNNNNNNNNNNNNNNUUCCCCCCCACCCACCCCAUGGUAGUCCCUUUGCAAUGGUUUACCAAAAGAAAGAGAAAAUUUCUCAAAAAGAAAAUCCUUCCACUCAUUUUGAAAAAGUGGUUUGAAAAUCCCAUAGCACAAAUGUUCAUAAAUGAAACACACCUCCCCAUCCAUAGGUGUCACCAAAAUCUCAAGCUCAUUUACUAUUUUUAAUAGAAAAGACAUCAUGCAAAUCAAAGUGUCAAAGAUAUAUCCAUUUUCAACUCCCCAAAAUGAUAUUUCCAAACAAGUCUUGAGUGAAAUUAAACUAGCCCCCUAAUAUAUUAUUCAAAAAUAUUCCUCCCCCUAACCAUGCCUAAUUUAUUUUAAGCAACAAAAACCACUUUUUCAUAGGUCAAGAACGCACCCUUUUUUUUUUUUUUUUUUUUUUUUUUUUUUUUUUUUUUUUUUUUUUUAUGAAAGAUCUAAUUGUAGGAAUGCAAUGCUAAAGGUAUCUCCAAGUAUACGGUCCAUGUAGCGGGGAUUCAUCGAUGACUCCCAACCAUAAGGCAUAGGGCACCAAGUUUAUAGGACUAAUUCAGCCACUAACUCCUCAGACUUCACCCCGGACUCCACAAUUUAGGAUCCAAUACCUUAGCACCUACAAUCGAGCUCAUACUCCACCUAUUCACCCAUGUAGCGAGCAUUGAGGUCGGUGGCUCCCAACCAUAAUGGCUUAGGGCACCAGGUUUUAAAGACCUUUGGGCCAUAUACCCCUCGGACCUUGCUCAGGUUUCAAGGAAAGCAUAACUCAACCUUUUUUUUUUUUUUUUUUUGAUGAAUUGGGCACAUUGGCCUCUUCUUAAGGUGUCUUAACUCAAUUUAAAAGUGAUUCAACUUGCUAAGACAAUUGGGUCCAAGUCUUAGGGUUAGAUUAGUCUUUCAUCUUAUAUCAGGGGUCUAGAGUGCACAGUGUGUGUCAAGACUCAAUUAGAAAAAAAAACUUGGGAAGAUGAAAACUUCAAAGUCAAAUCAAACUCAAUCAACAUAACAAGUUUUCUAAGAUCAAGCAAAUGAGCUGAUAUUCCAAAUCAACUUCUUUCAAGCUAGGUAUGCUUAUUUAUCAAUCAUAAGUGCUAUGUUCUUCUCAAAAAAAAAUUACCAAUUAAAAAAAAAAACUAGUUAAUACACAAGCAAACAAAAAGAAAAAAAAAUCUAACAACCAAUUCUAAAUCAACAAAAAACCAAAAGUCCUUCCUUUCCUAUCCUCCCCCCAACCAAACUAAACAUUGUCCUCAAUGUUUACCAAAAAAAAUGUAAAGCAAGGAAGGGAAAAGUACCUGCAAAGCAUUGUUUUCCAGCUUCUAUAACUGUGACAAAACAAUAUAGAAGUAUAAGUGUGCUAGGAAAGGAGAAAAAUAAAAAAAUUGAACACUAAAAAAAAUGAAGUCAAGGAGAAAAGUGAGGGCACUCCCUAUCCUCAAGCAUAAGAUGGAUGGGAGGGGAUGAUCUCUGAAGGUGUCAAAAUGGUGGUGGGCACUGUAGACUCCCUUGUUGUAGAAUUUGUCUCUUGUGUAGGUGGGAUGGACAGAGGAUGAGCAUCAUGAACACUAGCUGGCUUCUCAGAAGAAGAAUUCCAUUGCUGGACAGCCAUGGUAAGUUCAUCAACUCUUUGGACAAGUUGCCGCUGAGUGAGCUGGAUGUUUGCUUGAUUUUCUUGAAUCAUAUCCAAGCGAGCUAAAAGUUGAUUGAAUGCUUCAGUUGAUAUAUGGACAUAGCCAUCAGAAGUUGAUGGGCCUAUGUUUGGGGUAGAGGAAAGGCUAGCCAAAAUAUGUGCAGCUGUAUCCGGAUUUUGGGGAGUAGAAGUAGCUCCUCGUGUGGUGGCAGCUGGUGGUCUUGGGGGUGUAUCUUCUCCAUCACCAAAAUCUUCAAGGAUCAAAUUCGGAGGAGGUACAUAAUGAUGUUCAUUAUCAGUAGUCAAUGAGGCGCUUGUGAGAGUGGACUCGGUUUUGGUCACACUACCUUGCCAUCUGGAAACAGUAUAGACUUCCCUACAAUGAUGUUUCUUUUCUUUAUCAGGUUCAGUAGGGAAGCCAUAGUACUCCAAUAUGGUGCCCAACAUGCGCGGGAAGAAUAGUGGAUAUUUCUUGGCUCUUUGCAAUUGCUUUAGAUGUACCUUAUCUUCAAAGUAGAACAGGGCAGCCAUGAAUAAAUCAGCAGGUGUCCACCAUUGUCCACUGAUAAUUCUGAAUAAUGCCUCUAGGAUUUGUUCCCGCCUUUGCAUUGCAUGUUGGCAAGGAUAGACAUUGGAGCGUAGGACAUGAUCUAAGAACCAAAAUUUUGAGUCUAUUUCUCUCCUCAGCACUGCAUGUGUGUUGAUGGAUUUUCCGGAUGGAUGGAAUGCAUGAGGCAAAGGGAGAAGGAGUUUUAAUAGCCCAACACCAGUGUGCAUGAUCAUGCAAAAACAAAGGAGUCUUCAUGCAAAAACAGGGGAGUCUUCAUGCCAAAAACAGGGGAGUCUUCAUGCCAAAACAGGGGAGUUCUCAUAGCUUUGGAAAUGUGCAAAACGAGUCUCUGUCCCAGUUCGCAUUAUCAUGCGAAAUUCUCGCAUGACUGUGCGAAAAUGAUAAGGGAAGUGUAAAAUUUUUUAACCCUCUGGACUAUUUCGCAUAACUAUGCGAACAUUUCGCAUGACUAUGCGAAAUCCAGCUUAAGCACUGAGGUAAAAUUAACCCUCUGGACCACUUCGCACACUUAUGCGAAAAUUUCGCAUGGUUGUGCCAAAAUUUUCUUUAAAAGGAAAAAGACAAAAUUGCCCCCAAUAUAAUCCCUGUUUUAUUUUGCACGGUUAACUGAAAGUGAGCCUCAUGCGAAAACUCUUAGUCUUCGUUAGUCAUGCGAAACUGAGGAGGAAUACCAUCGGUCUUUUUUCCAUUUCACCCACUCUCUCUCACACAUAUCUUCCUUGCCCUAAACCACGUUGAAACAUCAGGAAUCUGAAUACUUUCAGUUCUUGAUUUUCGGAGAUUUACUCGAACACUCCCGCGAUUUCAAGCAUUUUAGAUGGGAAAUCAAAAACGAAAAUCAUCAGACAUUGAGAAAGAAUUUGUGGUGAUGAAUGACGAAAAUGGCAAAGACACUGACCCCGAAUCACCUCCGGGAUUUUCCCUCUCUGAACCUCCCAUUUCUGGACAUCGAAACCAGAGGAAUGUCGCAAGAUCUUCAAUAGAUAAAGGAAAAUCAAAGAUGGUUGCUACUCCUGGAAAAUUACCGGUGAAGAGAACACGAAGCGUCAGAGCUCGAACUCUUUCAAAUUUUCCGGCAUCCCCUGCUACUCCUUCAGAGCAACAUGUUGUAGUUCAAUCCACCGUUGCUAAAGCCCCUGCUCCUACUCCGGUUACAAAAUCUGCAUCUCCACCAAGCCGACCACCUCAGUUUCAAUUCACGAAAGCACCAAAGAAGAAAUUAGCUACUGGUGCAAGGGAGGACUGCUCAGGUAGAAAAUUUCAUGAAGAAUGGUACUAUGAUUUCAAGGCUUUUGCUGCAUCAUCUAUUACUAAAUUCUCCACGGAGCUUUGUUGUCGAUAUUUUUUGGAGCCAUUCAUGGUGCCUAGACCAUUCUUCUAUCCUCGCAUAAUUCGGGAAUUUUAUCGCACCAUGACUAGCAGAGGAGUCUACCCACCUUCAGUGAUUUAUUUCGAAAUUGAUGGGAAACAAGGUAUGCUAAAUUCUGAAAUGGUAGCAAGAGCUUUGGAUAUUCCUUUCACACCUCCAAAUCCAGCUGAGUUUCAACCUAUUACUCGAAUUGAGGCUGCUGAGAUGGUGCGGAUUGUCUCUCAAAAUCAAUCCAUCUCCACCACCUUCAAUUAAGCUCCAAAGCUUGGUCCAAGUGCAUUUCCUCUUCCUCUUCAUCCACAUUAUGUAUCCUCCUCCAUUCCAUUUUCCAUUUGUCACUCCAUGCUUCAAAAAUCACCUUAAAAUAUCUCCAAAACUCAACAAAGAACCAUUAGAAUCUCUUGCAAGGGUAGCAAUGUAUUACUUGGGCAUAUUAGGCAUAAUUACUACUUAAAAGGUGUGAAACUCAUGAAAGUUAGUAUCUAAAAUAUGUGGUUUUUGAGUAGUAAUCACACACACACAUGCACACAUGAGUAGAAAAUAAAGAAAAACAAAAGACUUUUAACAUGGUUUGAUGAUCAAUGUAAUGCUUAAAUCCACGAAGUGCACCAAUACUCAAGAUCAACAAACCUUUUGGAAUAUGAUUCUAGCCAUUGCAUCACCAUAUGCUUCUACCUACACUACUAUUGCUAAAAAGUUUCACAUGUAUUCCUUAAAGUUUCUAUUUCAUUCAUUCUCAUAUUAAAGAGUGAAUCCAUGUCACAAUGGUAGCAUUAGGGGUACAUGUGUUGAGAAACAAAUAUAAUGUAACGUUUCAAAAAAAAGAUUGAUAUAGACCCACUUGGUAGAUUGUGAAACCAAACUAAGGCAGAUCCUAAAACCUUGUGGGAAAGAGCUUACAUCAAUGGGUCAUGUUCAUGCACUAACAUUAUCAAUUGGCAAUAAAGCAUGAGGUUGUCCAUCAAGUCCCUCAAGCAAUCAUAAGCUUAACAUUUUGAAAACACAAACUUGAUGGAUACUUUUGCAUCUAAGAUUCAAGCAGAGUAUAUGGUGAUUGACAAUCCAUGGACUAUCCUUUUAGCUAGUUGGUGUGAAGUAUUUCUUCUCAUGGAAUCCAUUAUUACUUUCAACUGAUCGAGUUGCAUUUCUAAGAUGUCUCGCUCAUUGAGGUGAUGCAUUAUCCCAUUUUGGAUUGAAUUAUCUUAUUUAUAAAGACAAGAGUCUCCACAUUGUGAUUGAGACACUAAAGAAGGCUUCAUCAUGGUUAUUAGGGUUGUAGAUGAUCGUUGCCAAAUUGGGACCUCAUUUUGUUACAUAAGGCCUGCAAUUGUUGAUUAAACUUGUGUUGUCGUGGUUCUAGUUGUGCAUGAAAAUCCCUUAAAACACUAUUUCUUUCUUUGGUUCAAUGCUUCUGUCCUCUAUCGAAUCCCUUAGUGCAACAUAGGUUAUUGUUUGGCUUUCAAGCGAAUGCUAAAGUAUAAGAAACUAUAAUACUAGAUUGUAAGAACGUAGUCAAGCUAUUUUUUUGUCAUUUUGAUCUUUUUAUUUUCUCUACAAUUUAUCAAGACCACAAUACAAACAAUUAUCAAAAGGUGAAGUUUGUUAUUGGAUCCUUGUUAUAUUAGACACGUGUCAUCCUUAUCAAGUAAGGACAAUCCAAUAUUCUGAUUUGAUCGUGAUGUGAGGACUCAUAUGAGGAAAGAGUCGGGUUAGUAGUUGGUUUUUUCGUUAUUCUUAAAUGAUUUUCUUUUGUAAAUGUUAGUAAAGUAAAGAAACAAUUAACCUAAUGAUAUAAAUGAAUAAUCAAUGAAUAUGAAAUGCGGAUACGUGGGUUUUUUUUUUUUUCCAUUCACACAUCAACCCUUCGUCAUAGUUUAUAAUUCCCACUAUAAAUAAAAUAAAUUAAUUAUUAAUUAAUAGGUUUGCCCUAAUAUUAUAGGUAAUGGUAUUUGUUUGCUUUUUUUUUUUUUCUGUUAAAUAUUAUUAGCCAUGCGCUUACCCAUAUGUAAUGCCCAAAAUAUAUAAAUUAUCAAUUAUUUAUUUAUUUCCCUUUUUCCCCCAACGAGAAAACAUACUUCCCUCUCGUAAUUUUGCCUUUGGAGUGUAGAUCAUAGGAGUUGUCUGCUUCCUUUCACGUGCGCAUUCUUGAAACCCUAGCUCCCACAGAACCCUAAGAUGGCCGGCGGUAACCCCAAGGCCUCUUCACACAAGCCCUCUUCCUCCUCUUCUCACCGGAAGUCUCGCUGGGAGUCCGGCUCCAACCCGGAUAAAAAAUCGGGCGACUCCAAACCACCCAAUUCCUCCUCCACCCCUAAGACCCCUAACAAUGACCCAAAACAAGCCCCUGCUUCCACCUCCGGCUCUUCCCAUCCCAAGCCUCCGGCUGAUUCCGUCCCAACCUCUGCCGCCGCUCCAGUUCGUCCUCCGGUCGCUGGAGCCCCAUUCCUUCCGGACCCUACCACGUUCGGGCCUCCUCCCGCUCCUCAGUAUGGAUUUCACAUGCUUGAACGCCGGACGAUUGUUCUUGCCGAUGGGAGCGUCAGAUCGUAUUUUGCACUUUCGCCGGACUAUCAGGACUUUCCACCACCGCCGCCCCGAGCGAUGGACCCUGCCGGGAGGUUCUUGCCUAUGGGGCCUGGCCACGGCCCCGAACCCGUCGGUCCGGGGCUGGGCCGAUUCCCUCUUACGGGACCGAUGAGUCCCGAAGGGUUCCGCGGCGAACGCGAUGAUCCCUAUUCUCGUGGCAGACAUCAGGAUUACUGGAAUUCUCUAGGGCUAGAUGGCCGUGGACACCCAGAAGGGUCGAUGAAGAGGAAAUACAGUGAAGAGGACGAGAGGGAUAGGAGAGAAGACAGAGACAGGAGAGAUGGCAAUGAUGAGUUUGCUAGGCAAAGGCAGCAGCUUUUACAGUAUGGGAAUCCUAGCUUGAACCCAAAUGGGUAUCCAUUGGGGGGUGAUCGCAGUGAAUAUUUGGCCGGACCUAGUAGCCCCUUCCGGAGAGGUGUUAUGGACCCAAUUCGUGGUGAUGAAUUGAGGUCUUCUAAGUAUAUGAGGAUUGGAGGGGGUUAUGAGGGGUUUUCCCGGCAAGGAGGUGUUGGGGAUAAUGUGGGUCUGAAGCACCAUAAUGUUGAUCAAAAUGCACUGAAAAAAGCUUUUAUUCAGUUUGUAAAAUUGAUUAAUGAAAGUGCAUCACAGAGGAGAUUGUACUUGGAGGAUGGAAAGCAGGGCCCUCUACGAUGUCUAGCAUGCGGCAGGUUUGGAAAAAAUGGGCCGCUUGUACCUUCUUUAUUAUUGAGUUUCUUACGCAUUGUCUAUUUGUCAUUGGUGGUUGUUGCUGUUAUUGCAGACUAUGUUCCAUGGACUUGGGUAGAUGUUUAGGUUUCAGUAGGUGGGUAUGGUCAGAUCAUCUAAUUGUCAAUUAGACCAUUAGAUGGGGUUAAGUUGUGAAUAGGUUUAACCUGUUGUUGUCCAUAUUGUUGGGUUCUGUGAUUUUGCAUGUGUGAUGCGUGUCCAAGUUGUGGAUGUCUUUAAUUUGCUGUUGCUUAAUUGUAGAAUGGGAAGGUUUCAUGUGAUUUAUGACAUAGUAUUUCUGAUUUGCCUAUUACUCGUAUCUUGGCUUGUGUUUGAUGGAGUUAUUUGCAUCUCCUUGUCAGUAUUAAAGACUGUUAGAUAUUUAGUUGUUAACAGGUUAAAAAAUUUUGCCCUCUAUUUCAUAGGAUGAGAAAUUUCUGUGAUGUAGAAUGUCUGAUAGAUCAAGAAAAUAUAUGCGGGUACUUCUAUGAAUAAUUAAUGUGUUUCUCCUGUCCUUUCUAGGUCAGACCUAUUCGGUUCAAAGUUGAUCCAAUCUAUGUUGCGUGGCUUGGUGGGGAGAUUCACAUAUCUUGUAAUCUCUUGACAACAUAAUCUGAAAAAUUAGGAUUCUUGGGCUUUUGGGUUGCAAAGUCAAUGGGGUUUGAUAGAAUUUGUCGUGAUUGAUGGAAUUGUCAUAAUGUCACGUGCUUUAUGCUUUAAUAGAGUGGGGAAUGGUGGUGAGAUUUUUAUGAGUCACGAUGGAUGACUUGCUUUGUAAUAUAUUGUUUUAUGAACAUAAUUAAAACUAUUUUCUUUUUAAUAUUUAUUAGUCGUUUGGCAAGUAUCAAACUAACUUGCUUUAGUUGGAAAACAUAGUAAAUUUGUUCUCACUUUUCCUCAUAUUGAUAGGAUAUGAUUAGGAGUUUCAUUCACUUCUUUCCAAUAGAAUACAUAUUUAUUCAAAAAAGAAUGCAUCGGGAUGUGUUGAAGUUUUGCAUUUUUUUCGGGACUGGUGUUAUCAAAGGUGAUCGCUUGGGUGGCCUAGGCUACCAGGCUAGGCGGGGCAGAUAAAAGUUGCCUCUUGAAGACCCAUACAAGGCGGCUUCAAAGAGGCAACAUCUAGGCAAUCGCCUUAGGAUAAGGCACAAUGCAUAGAGUUGAUCGCCAUUGACCAUGAGUUAAGAUUAAACAUACUUAGAUUAUAAUUUCUGUUGAGAGAGAGAGAAAGAAGAAAAACCUUAAUUCUCAUUCAUGUAUAAUCCUUUGGCCUGAGUCCAAAAUUUAAAACAAGUUUUGUAGGCCCGAAGAUGAAGAAGAAUCUUGGGAUCAACCGAUUGCCAUAAUACACUACAUAACUGUGCAUCUAUCUUCCUCCACUGUACGCGGUCAACCUCAGGGAUAUCUGCCUCCUGUGUAAUCAAGUGAUCCUCAUAUCCUUGACCCAUAAACCAAAGUUCAACAGAGGCAGACCAGGAAAGAUAAUUUUCACUGCCAACUAAUUUCUCCGAAGUAAUCAUAGGAGAUCCAGAUAUGAUAGAGGAAAAAAUGGAAGCUUUAGUAGCCAUAUCCACUUAUCUGGAGAAUGAAGUAUGUUUGGAUCGAAGAGAGCCCUAAUACGGCUUCAGAUUGCGGCGUGGCACCACCGAAAAAGGGAGACGGCCUCAGAUCGCGGCGUGGUACCACCAGAAAGGUAGAAGAACACUUCCCAAGGCACGUGCAGGGAUUGGAGUGGAGAAAAAGUAGUCGGAGCUUCGUCGGAAAGACUGUUUGGAGGGCCGAUGGAGACAAAAAACCCCAAAAGAGGUACGUGCAGGGCUCGGAUGGGAGAACCAGGGAGGUAGGGAGGCUGGUCGGCGUCAGGCGAAGCUGGAGGAGGAGGCGCGUCGCCGGAAAAUUCCUCAUGCGCUGGCGUGUGAGAUGCAGCCACCGGCCGGAAAAUGGCGCGUGGCCGACGCGUGGAUGCUCUUUGGUGCCGGUGCCUUCACAAAAGUUGGAGAUCUCCUCCAGGCGCUCCUUCUGGUAUGGUCGGUGUCGGAAAAAUAGUUCGCCGGAAAGUUCGCCGGCGGUGAGUGGUUUCUAACGACGAUCCGACUGACCGGAAAGUAUUGGGAGAUGGGGAAGGUGACCGGAAAGAAACAUGGUCACCCGAAGGUUUCCCGGAGUUGAUGACACGGGAAACAGGAAAGAAUUAGGUUUUCUUCCUUGGCUCUGAUACCAAUUUAAUCUAAUAUUGGAUUAAACAAAGUAUAAGAUGAAAUAUUAUAUUAUCAAUCAUAGAGAUAAUAAGAUGGAUGACUAUCAAUCUAGUCAUGAUGGAAGUGAUGACAAUUUUCAUUUCAAUGAUGACUAUGAUGAUGAUGAUGCCUAAAGCUUCUCUAGAAUGUUCAAUCUCUAAUUUGUUUUUUAUUUUUCUUUUUAGAUGUUUGAAAAAUUAGAAUAUGCAUUUAGAUAGGAUGAAUAUCUCUAAACAAUAUGAUGUCUCUUAUGAUAUGGGGUAUAAUAAUAAACACUUUGAAUAAUUAUUACUAUUUUGUUAAUUUUAUAAGACAUCAUAAGUGAUGAAAAAUUAAUAGUGUUGAUUGUUGAAGACAACACUUAUAUUGUUCGAGUAUUGAAUAGGUAAAUAUAUGUAUAUUGUUAUUGCUUUACUAUAGUCAGACUAUCACCUUGUUUUUCAAUUGUUGCCUUAGCCUAAAAGAAGUCUUAUUGGCUUGACAUAGCCUUUUGCUUUUGACAACACUGUUCGGGACUGCAUAUUUUAGUGUUGCAGGAAGUUUUUUUCAUGAUCAUGAUUGGUGGAUAACUGUUAUGAUUUAGAUUUCUCAUUUUGGAUUCUUGAUGCUUACCCCUUUUUUUUAGUGAUGUACUCCUUUGUAUCACUUCUUUUUCAUCUGAUGAUGUGGGACAUGGAUCCAAUUGAUAGUUGGAACAUGUAAGGUAAUGCAAGUUGUUGGUAGAUGUUAUAGUUGGGAUGUGCAAGUAGAUUUCCAUACAUAACUACCCUUGUUGAACUUGAUUUGGCUAUUCUUUUGCUGGAUAUCCGAGGCCAUAGUCAUGCUAAAAUAUGUAAUCAUAUCGCAUAUUGAAGGCUAACCUCUCCAUAUAUCUUUAAUAUGAUAAAAAAUUGAGGGUUUAGAGGUUAGAAUCAACGCGUAUAUCAAUUAGGUCCUCAAUGAAUGAUAUGGGAUACAUGAGUGUAAAAAUCUGUGAUUUACCUUGAUUUCAAAUGGAGAACACCAGCAUCUAGUGGCAGAACUUGAAGGAUUUAGUUUCCACCCGUCAUCAUCGUGCAGCAUGAAACCUAUUGUAUUCUGGCAAAGCCUCUAACCUUAGAACAGUUACCUAGAGCAAUUAGCGUCUAUGGUUGCAUUUGCAGUUUCGUUUUUGUAUUAUGAACACCUUAGAAUAGCAUCAAGGAUAUGUGAAAUUUGUAUUGUAUCUUCUUAUUCUGAAAUUAUUCCAAAAUUCAUCAUGCUAUAUUAUCUGCAUAUGAAAAAAAUCAGCAUAAAAGAUAUCAGGUCAUUUUCAAAUUAUUCAAUUUUAAUGAUUGGUUUUUUUUUUUUUGAUAAGUAAGCACAGAAUAUAUUGAUAAAAGGCCAAAAAGCCACACGUAUACAGGGAGUAUACAAUCUAGCUAAAGCCUCACAACCAAAAAGAAAAACAAAAGAACCCCACUAGCCCUUAUGUGGAGGCUAUCCACUCUAGGGAGCCUAUAAGAGACAACGACCUCUCUCCACUAUACAUUCUCGCCUAACCCCAUAAAAUACAGACAAAAGAAUUUUUUAAUUUCUGAAUAUCUAUCACCCACCCCCUCCCCUAAAAGCAAGCCUAUUUCUUUCCUUCCAAAUGGUCCAAAAGAUGUACAACGGUAUAGACUUCCAUAUCUUUUUCCUUUUUUUCCCUACAAAAGGGUCCCUCCAGCUUAAUAAGACCUCCUUUACAGUUUUUGGAAAGACCCACUGAACACCAACCAAAGCACAUAUCAUAUCCCAAAGGACUUUUGCCACUAUACAAUGUAUGAAGAUGUGAUUUACAGUUUCCUCUUCGCAUCCACACAAGAAACACCGAUUAGGGAGAUGCCACCCUCUUUUCUGGAGCCUAUCUAGCGUAAGCACCUUGCCCCAAGUAGCUUCCCAUGCAAAAAACAGAAUUUUUGUUUGGACUUUAUCCACCCAAAUGUUGUUCUUCGGAAAAUUGUUAGCCACAGAAUUUACCACCAAGUUGUAGGCUUCUUUUACUUUAAACUUUCCGUUUCUUCCCCCUUUCCAAAAAACAGCAUCCUCUUCUAAAGUAGGAUUGAACCCCCUCAAAGUAUGAAGCAAAUUACCUACCAUAUCCAACUCCCAAUCAUUAAAGCCCCUCACAAAUCUUAUAUCCCAAUCACCUUGGCCCACAUUCUGGUCCCACAUAUCUUCUACUGUACCAUUCCUAUGAGCAGCCAUCCCAUAAAGGUGAGGAAACCUUUGGGACAGCACUGUACAUCCGCACCAAAGAUCAUUCCAAAAUCUGAUUCUGGUACCAUUCCCCAUAGUAAAAGCCAUAUUCUCCCAACACCAAUCUUUUUCCUUCAUAAUUUCCUUCCAAACCCCUACUCCAAACGUCCCAUUAGCCUUUUUGGUCAUCCAACCAAGUCCCUCUUGCCCAUAUUUCGCCAAAAGCACUUGUUUCCACAGAUUUUCCUUUUCACAAGCAAACCUCCAAAUCCAUUUCCCCAACAAAGCUUUGUUUAACGGGAUUAGCUUCCUUAAGCCAAGCCCCCCCUUUUCCUUCUCCGUACACACAACCUCCCAAUUAACAAGGUGCACUUUCCUUUCUAAGUUUCCUCCUCCCCAAAGAAAAUCCCUUUGCAAUUUUUCUAAUCUUCGCGCAACCGACUUGGGCAUACGGAAGAGAGACAUUUGAUACAAUGACAUACUAGCCAUCGUGCUCUUAAUGAGAAUAAGUCUCCCACCUUUGGAAAUAUAUUGCCGUUUCCAAUGCACAAGUCUUCUUCUCAUCUUCUCCUCCACCCCAUCCCACACGGCUGUACUCUUGUUAGGAGCCCCCAAUGGCAGCCCCAAAUACACAGAUGGCAUAGAGCCCACCUUGCAGCCCAAUUCCGCUGCCAUCUCCUCCAUCUCUUCCAUCUCGCCAACUGGGAUUAUUUCACUUUUCUCCAAAUUGAUCCUUAACCUUGACGUGGCUUCAAACCAAAACAGAAUCCAACUCAGAUAAGUUAGAUACUCCUUCCUGGCUUCACAAAAAACUAUAGUAUCAUCCGCAAAAAGCAGAUGGGAUACAUGCACUGGCUGCCUUCCUCCUCCUCGGAUCCUACAGCCUGACAAAAAACCCCCUUCAACAGCUCUCCUGAUAAGAUUGCUCAACACCUCCAUUCCCAUCACAAAGAGGUAAGGGGAGAGGGGAUCUCCUUGCCUCAACCCCUUAGAACUUGGAAAGAAACCGGUCGACACUCCAUUCACCAACACCGAAAAUUUUAAUGAUUGGUUAGUAGAUAUAAAUUUAUGUUUCAAUUGUUUGCCUUAGAAUUUUAAAAUAUGUUAGUUCUUUUUUAUUAGACUGUUGUUUCUCUUGGAGUAUGAUUUACAUUGUGGGCUUAAAUUCUAACAGUUUAAACUUUUAGGAAAAUUGGUUGUUCUACAUGAUAUCAGAGCUUUGGUUAACAGGAAGUCCCCGGUUUAAGUCUUGCCCCAUCUAUUUAUCUAUUUAAUUAUUGUAAUCACAAAAAAAAAAAAAAAAGUAAUUUGUAUGCUGCCAGUGCAGUUUGUGCCUUCCACGGCAGGUAUGGGGCUUAAGGCUUUGCUUAAUUGGGAUUUAAGGCUUUUCUUACUAUAAUUAAGUUACAUAUGGUCCUUUUUUAGUUCCUUUCGCAUUUUGCUCUUAACAUAUUGAAUGUUUUUGGAUGUUAGAAGGAUCUUUAUGUUGAUGGUUUGAGUUUGUUACUUUUAGAUUGGCUAAGGGCAAAGAUGGUUUUAGUUGAUAUUUUAGCUAUCAGUGAUGGUUUUCAAUAAGUAUUUUCAUCAAACUAUGUUUCUUAGGAUGAUCUACUUGCUCUUAUGUAGUGGUAAGUUGGUCAACUAAUGAUAGAAUUGGUAGAUUUCUUGGGGUAUUGUUAGAAGAAACCUUUUUUUCCUUUUGGUUCUGGACAAAAUAAAUAGAAUGCAUUAAGAGGUGCCUAGCAAAAAAUAAGGGGUUCAACCCAAGUAUACAUGAAGUAUAUAGGAAGUGCACAAAAUGGAACACUAGGGCUAAGCUACCCAAUCCUCAUACUAUCUACAAAACCCAAAAAGGACAACAAAUGAAGGCCCAAAGUCCUUUUUGCCCAUAAAAAUAAAGACUUUAGGUGCAUAUCUUUUAGUUCCAUGCAUUCAAAGUGUUAGGGAGAAAUGGGGAGGGCUUGGAGAUUCCCCAUUUCUUGUUUGCAGAUGAUACUUUGUUUUUUUGUGAGGCCACGUCUUCCCAAAUGACUUAUUUGAGUUGGUUACUCAUGUGGUUUGAGACCAUUUUGUGUUUGAAAAUCAAUUUAGAUAAAAGUGAGCUUAUUUUGGUUGGGAGGGUGUCGAAUGUAAUGGAGUUGGCUGCUAUAUUUGGUUGUAAAGUGGGUGUGCUCCCAACCACUUAUUUGGGGCUCCCUCAAGGAGUUGCCCAUAACUUGGUAGUAGUUUGGGACGGGGUUGAAGAAAGGUUUAGAAAGAGAUUAGCAAUGUGGAAAAGACAAUAUAUUUUUGAAGGGGGAAGGCUAACUCUGAUCAAGAGCACGCUAGCUAGCCUGCCAAUCUAUUUUAUGUCUCUUUUUUGGAUGCCGAGGAGGGUUUGCUUAAGGUUGGAGAAGAUUCAAAGGGACUUUUUGAGGGAAGGUGGGGCUCUAGAGAAAAAGCCUCAUGUAGUGAAUUGGGAUAUUGUUUGUUUAGACAAAAGAAAAGGAGGCCUUCGAGUUAGACGUCUUAACUCUCUUAAUAAGACUCUCCUCUGCAAAUGGAUUUGGCGCUUUGCUAAGGAAAGGGAUGCCCUUUGGAGAGAAGUUAUUUGUGGUAAAUUUGGGGAAUUGGAAGAGGGUUGGUGCUUAAGGAAGUGAGAGGCAACUAUGGUGUUGGUCUAUGGAAAGCUAUAAGGCUUUUGUGGGAGUUAGUCUUUUCCAGAACUCUCUUUGUAGUGGGCAAUGGGAGAAGGAUCAAGUUUUGGAAAGACGGAUGGUGCGGGGAUGAGCCUUUAUGUGUGUCCCUUCCCUCAUUGUUUGCUUUAGCUAGCUCAAAAGAGGCUUGGGUGGCGGAUUUGUGGGUGCACUCUUCUGAGGGAGGUGGAUGGAACCCAAGCUUUUCUAGACCUCUCAAUGAUUGGGAGAUUGAGAUAGUGGAAUGCUUCUUGUCAAGGAUUCAAGACAAAGUGGUGGUUGAGGAGAGAGAGGAUGAGGUGUUUUGGGCAGUUACAAAGAAUGGAUCCUUUUCUGUUAAGUCCCUCAUUUCUAUCCUCGAGGAAGUAAGGGUAAGUGCUUUCCCUACUAGUAUUGUGUGGAAUGCUUGGGUCCCUCCUAAGGUUGGUUUUUUUUGCUUGGGAGGCAACCUGGGGAAAGUUUUGACUUUAGACCAAUUGCAAAGGAGAGGUUGGUCUUUAGCCAGUAGAUGGUUCCUUUGUUAUGCUCGUGAGGAGUCAAUUGACCAUAUACUCUUGCAUUGUGGGAAGGCAAGGCUAUUGUGGGAGCUCUUGUUCUCUUUGUUCAGGAUGUGUUGGGUGAUUCAAGCUUCCGUUAGAGAGACCCUUUUAGGGUGGCAGGGCUCAUUCAUUGGAAGAAAGAGAAAGAAAGUGUGGAGUGCAGCACCUUUGAGCCUCUUUUGGACAAUUUGGAAGGAGAGAAAUAGAAGAUCUUUUGAGAAUAUGAAGCUUUCUGUCCAAAGGCUGAAAGUUCUUGUUUUUGUGCAGUUUACUAUCUUGGACAAACAUGUUUAUAGAACAUACUUCUAUGUCUUUAGUUGAUUUUAUUGAUUGGUUGGGGACAGAUUGAGGGAGGGAGUAUUUUUUGUUUUCCCCAUCCUUUUUGGCGCUAUUAGGCAGCCAUUGUAUGCACUAUGUGUACUUUGGGGUGCCCCUUUUGGUGUUUUUAUUCAAUUUGCACUUGCUUAUCAAAAAAAAAAAAAAAAAAAAAAAAACUUUCAGUUCCAUGUAAGGUUACUCUAGGUCUUCAAAAGAUCUUCCAUUCCACUCUCUCCAAGUGAACUAUAAAAAAUACAUAAUGGAAUCAUCCUCCAAAUAGCUGUGUGCUUGGUACAGACAAAAAAAGCCCUCUUAUUGAGAAGGAUUUCUCUAAUCAAUUGGGGAAACAGUAACAAAGACAUGUCAAUAAGAGAAAUGAUCGUAGACCACAAACCAUAGGUCUAUUUGCAGUGCAUGAGAAUGUGGGCUGCCAAUUCCUCAUCAUCUUUGCAAAGACAAAACCUUGCAAUGGAGGCUCUCACCAUAGAAUCACUAUUGGUCACCACUUGAAUAAAAUUCUCCUUUCUAUGUUCUUCCACCAUAGAAUCAAACAAUUCAAAAAAAUUUCUACAGGCUUUCAAAUUGUGGAAGUAUCCAUGGUUUUCAAAAAAACAGUUCCCAUUAUACUAUUUUUAAGAAAGUUUGUAAUAGACCAUCCUAUUUCAUCACUCCAACCAUUGGCUAUAAGAUUACAUCCAAUUUUUCUUCACUUAAGCUUUAUAUUUGUCUAGAGUUUCACUAAUAUUUUCAACUUCUUUUUUCAAAGAAGAAACUCUUAACUACAUGAUAAAUAAAAUAGCUAAUUUUAAUUCCUUCCCAUCUUUAAUAGCAGAAUUGAUCCUCUUGUGAAAUAAAGAAAUCUUUAACCAAACUAAGGGCCAAAGCAUUCCCAUAAAUAAAUCUAAAAAUACUCACACUUGAUCACAAUCUCUCAUCAAUUUAUUCAAAAAAAUUUUCUUUGCCUUUUCCUUUUAACUCUUUCUUUCAAGAAAGGAUGCAUAGUUACUUUUUAGCAAUUUUUGCUUUUUCUUCUUUGAAACAUUCUUCAUCAACUUCUUCAUAGUUACCAUUCUUUUUCCAACACAAUCAAAUUUUUUGUAAGCAUCUCUUAAACUUCCUCCAAAUUUUUUGUACAGCACAAAACACAUUUGACCACCCAUGAAAAUGUUUUCUAAUUGGGCAAUGAGAGGUCGGGGACCAGCUCAUUUUUGGUUGCUUUCAAAUAGUCCGUCAUGAAACCAUUCACAUUUCCCAAGGAGCUUUUAUAGGGGGGAGACAAAUUUUAGAUGUUGUAUUGAUAGCCAAUGAAAUAGUAGAUAAGAAAAGGAGAUCAUGGGAGAAAGGAGUGGUCUUCAAAAUUGAUUUUGAGAAGGCCUAUGGCCCACAUGGGUUAGAGGUUUUUGGACCAUGCACUAGAUAGAAAGGGGUUUAGUACUAGGUGAAAAUCAUGGACGAGGGGAUGUUUGUUUUAGGCAAGUUUUGUAGUCUUAGUGAAUGGAAAUGCCAAAGAAUGGUUUAAAGAAACCUGAGGAUCAACACAAAGAGCAUCCGCUUUCUCCUUUUCUUUUCAUCAUUGUAACAGAUGUUUUAAGCAGGACGUGGAUAAGAGCAGAGGAAAUGGGUAUUCUGGUAGGGUUCCUAGUAGGGAGGCGCGGAACUAGAGUGACAUUAUCUUUUUUUUUUUUAAUACAAAUGUGGAAAAGUUGCAAAAUCUUGAGUUUAUCCUAUUGGUUUUUGGGCUCAUUUUAGGACUUAAGAUUAAUUUAUACAAGAGCACAUGUUAGGAAUCAAUAUGAGUCCAAAUUUGAUUUCUAGCUUGGCUUCAUUGUUAGAAUGUAAAUCUUUGAAUGUCCUUUGGCCUAUUUGGGUCUUUUACGAGGGGGGAAGCCUAAGAUUGAUGUCUUUUUGGGACUCAGUCUCACUAAUUUAGUCUUGUUUGUUUUGCAUCCCUAGUUAUUUCCUUUUGUGGUACAAGAUCCCAUCCUUAGUGGAAACAAGGAUUGAGAAAAUGUGAAGGGAUUUUUUCUUAGUCACUUGUUAUUUACAUGGUCUUUAAAGUUUCCUUUCUAGAACAAGAUAAACAGUUCUAUUAUCCAAGGUCUGUAGAUUGCCUACUUUCCUUGUUUUAAUGAGGCAUUACUUCUUGUUUCAUUCCAUUUCAGUGUUUUCUUCCCCUCGCUUAAUGCUUUGUCUAAGUUCCACUUGUGCAUUUUUGAAGAUACUUAUGCUGUUUAUUAAAGCUGGGUGUUAUGAUUCUGAUGGUUUAUCUAUUGUUUGGUUAUAAUUUUUGUUUAAGGUUUUCUGGAAGAUACAUCAUGUGAAUUUCCUACCAAACUAUACUGCUUUUGUUUAUGGAUCUAAACCUAUUAGUUAUGUUCUAUUUCUUUCUUUUUUAACCUUUGGUUCAUUUGCUGUGUUUGGCUUCUGAAGUAGUUUGUUUGCCAGUUCUGUGUUCAAGGUAUAUUAGAAAUAAGAUACACUGCAUGUUAAGCCUACCAAGUUGAAAAUGAUGCUUUAAAGACAUGUUUUGAGGAGCAAGAGCUACUAUUCUAUUUGCCCAUCAAAAAAAAAAAAAAAGGAAAAAGAAAAAAAAAACGAAAAGAGGAACCACUAUUCUUGUCAUGUAACAAGCUAACCCCUAGGGCUCAUGGAGCUGACCUGAAGUAGUAGAGAUUUAGGCUUUGUUGAGUGAGUUUAUUAUUAUUGGUGUUCUCCAGCUUUUUGCUUUUAGUGCACAAUUCUUCUUCCAUCUUUUGUCUUUCAGUGCACAAUUUUUUUUCCCCUAUUUUAGGAUGACUUUUCUUUGCCCAGGCCUUUUAGGAUUUGUGUUUACAAGUGCUUAUUUCAAAUUUUCAGUUAAUAUGGAGUCAUUAGAAAUGUAGCCAGACAGUAUGCUAAUUAUUUUCCUUUUGAUAGGAGACGGUGGACUAACUGUCAGAAAUUCUAUUCUAAUACUAGGAUCAUAUCUUGAUUGAGUGCUUAGUGAUUUAUGAUUGCAAAGUCAUGCAUACCAGUGGUUUAUGACUUACUGAAAGUUCAUACAGAAGAUAUGUUAAAUUACCGAUAAUGUCUAGAUUCAACAGACCUCAAAUUUGAGAUAGUGUAUUGUUUAGUAUGUAGUCUUCCUUACUGGUAUUUGCAAUUAUAGUUGUUGGAUGGAUGAGAAGGGUGGUUACAUUCUUCUAAUUGUAUUCUAAUGUGGCAGAUUUUUUGCAUUCCUUUGAUUUAUGAACAUAGAUCCAUCGUAAUAUUUUGGUUCUUCAGAUAGAUGGCAGAAAAUGAGCAUGCAUAUCCAUUUCAAUUGGUUUGGCAAAGAAUUGCACAUGGCUUCUGAUUUGGUCCUUAAGGCCUAGCAGGUGUUAAGCACCAUUGUAGUGUAUUGUUUUGGAAUCCCUGCAUGUUUGUUACCUUCUUUACUGUUUAAGCAGAUGUAAAGUGCUUUUAGGGAUUGGUUGCAACUUGGAAGUAGUUUCCUGCUCUGCUGUUUUUAUUGGCUGAUGAUUACUUAAUUGUCAAGAAGAUUAAGAACAUGUGUAAUAGAAUGUGUUGUAUCGGUUUUUCUGAGGGAGGUUUAAUUCAUGUUAUGGAAGCUUAAUUCAUGUUUUUAUCUUAUUUAUUAGCGAGGUUUGUACAUCAGUUCCAGCAAACUGGUUACACCAAAAAGUAAUGGUGGUGCUGUUCUCCUAGCAUCAUUGGUUCAGUGGCUUUGUUUUUUAUUUUGGUUUUAAUUCUUAAGUAUAAUUUAAAAGGUUAGUGCACAUGUUUUAUUUGGAAGUUAGGACUAAAUUAAAUAGAGAUAAAUAGUUUCUUACAUGUCUCUCUACAUCAUUGGUAGAUGUAUUCUGGCUUUGAGGGUGAUUUUGUUUCGACAUUUUAGAGUUCAUAUUUUUUAGUUCUAGUUACAAGACUUUUGCUGCUCACUCUCUAAUUGUCUUGGAUGGCACCUUCUUCUGAGUCCUGACACAUUGAAAGCCAUGCUGUCUUUAUAUCGAUAUUAUUUUAUUUUCUGGGUUGGCUCCAUUUAUUGAUUCCGCCUAUGUGAUCCCUUCAAUUGUUUGUAUGAAUUUUUGCCCACAUGAGGUCUUCUAUCAGUAGCUGCUUGUAAAUAGCUGUAUUGGUUUGAAAUUAUUAAGUUUAUAUUUCACAACAACCUCAAUUUAGUUGUCACUUUCUUGUUUCAAUCACUUUGGGUUGCCAACACAAAUCUUGUCCCGACAUCCCAAUCCAUUCUGAGUGAAAAUUUUGGUGGGAGCUUCUGAUUUCUACCACACAGGUUUCUCUCAUUGCUUUUCUCACUUAUGCAUUCCCCUAUCUAUUCUUUUGUAAGUAAGAUCUCUCUAAGAGUUUAUUCCUUGCAAUUAAUAAUUUCUUCUUACAUGUGCUCUCAAUGAUGUUUCUCGAACAUAUUUAAUUGAUUGAAAUUGUUGCUCAUCAUAAAGUGGUACUACUACUAUAUAUAAAAAAAUUGAUUUUGCUUUUCCUACUAUGUUCACUCUCUAUUCCACCUAGUGUUAUCAAAAGUGAUCGCUUGGGACACCGGGGCCAGAAGGGGCAGAUAAAAGUCGCCUCUUGAAGGCCUAGGCAAGAUGGCUUCAAAGAGGCGAUGCCUAGGUGGUCACCUUGGGAUUAGGUGUAAGGCAUAGAGGUGGCGCCUUUGACCAUGGGUUAAGAUUAGACAUACUUAGAUUGUAAUUUAAUUCACUUUAACUUUAGAUUAAACAAAGUAUAAGAUGAAAUAUUAUAUUAUCAAUUAUGGUGAUAAUGAGGAUAGAGGGCUAUCAAUCUAGUCUUGAUGGAAGUGAUGACAAUUUUAAUUUCAAUGAUGAUUAUGAUGAUAAUGAUGAUAAUGCCCAAAGCUUCUUUAGGAUGUUCAUUCUUUUAUUUUGUUUUUUAUUAUGAUUUUUAGAAUGUUUGGAAAAUUAGGAUAUGCAUUUGGACAAGGUGAAUUUCUUUAAAUAAUAUGAUGUUUCUUAUAAUGUGGGGUAUAAUAUUUAAUACUUCGAAUGAUUGUUACUAUUUUGUUAAUUGUAUAAGACACCAUGAGGGAUGAAAAAUUAAUAAUGUUGAUUGUUGAAGACGACACUUAUAUUGGUUAAGUAUUGAAUAGGUAAAUAUAUGUAUGGUUUUUAUCGCCUUACUAUUGUUAGGCUAUUGCCUUGUUUUUGGCCUUUUGCCUUAGGCUUAAAGGAGUCAUAUAGCCUUGACAUUCCCUUUUGCUUCUGACAACACUGAUUCCACCUUAAGCAUCUUGUUUGUGCUCAGUCGAUUAACCUAUCACUUUCAGGGAAGUGACAAAGAUAUUUUCUUGAUAAAGGGCAAAGUUGUUGCUCAACAAGGGAUUUUUUGGGACCAUGAGUUCUGAACAAGGGCUAUUUUCAUGCCUUAUUGGGAUUUCAUUGGACCAUGUACUCUCAACAAAGGAUUUUGUUGUUAUCUUAUUGGUACUUCAGUUAUCAUACUUGGCAGUGUCUGACUCCACAAAUAAUGGAUCUGGUGUAUUUUGUAGGAGUUUUAAAUGUAGGAAUUUGGAUGCUGAUGGUAUCUGGUUGAUACAGGGAUGAGAGAAUUCAGUUUUUUGACUAAAUUCUAUUUGUUCAAGUUCCUGAUAAGCAUUUUUGUUGAUACUUGGAAGAUAUGGUAUUGAUGUUAUUACUUUCUGGGUUGUGGUAUUGAUUUCUAUCUGGAAUGUAAGGUUUAAAGCAUUGGUUUUUAGUGAUUGGUUUAUGUGGUUUUGUUUAUGAACUUCUUCCUCUGGGGAAUAGACUAUUAAGUGCUCCAUUGGUUCUAUAGCUGCCAAUGGAGUAUGCUACCACAUAUUUUGCUUUGAAUCUAGCUGAUGCUUUAACUUGUAUGCAGCUGAGUCAGGGACGUCGCCCUUUUUCUGAGAUUGUAUUCGUAGUCCCUUUGUUGUUGUUUUAGAAGUGCAGUGUGUGACAGUUUGGUUUCUUUGUUUGGUAGUUCACACUUGCAGCCAUAAGUUGUUGUGACUUUGGUGCAUUCAUAGUUUUAAAAGGCUCAAGGCGCACCAAGGCGCAAAGUAGUCCUAGAGCCUGAGGCGCAAGGCGCACCUAAGGCGCGGGCUUUAGUGAAGUGAGGCGCACCCUAAUUUACUUAUAUAUUUUCUCCUAUUUUCCCCUAUAUAUAUUUUUUUUUCUUCUUCUUCUUCACUUCUCCAGCACGGCUGAGGCUAAGGCACGAUUGGGAGUGCUCUCGGGUUGAGAAAGACCAGAAAAGGGGGCUGGAAUGGAGGAACAGGCCAAAACGGCGUCGUUUUGGCCUCUUUUUUUUUUAAAAAGGAACAGGGUCCAAAACGACGCCGUUUGGUCCCACAAAUUAAAAAAAAAAAAUUAGGGCUGAGGGUGUAGAGUUCUGCAACCCGACGGGAGGAAGAAGAAGAAGAAGAAGAAGAAGAAGAAGGAGAAGGAGAAGGAGAAGGAGAAAGAGGGGUGCGUACCUGGUCGGACCGUCGGAGGCGACUCAGGCGAGCGCCUUGCGCGCCUAAGCGGCGCCUUCCUGAAGGGGCGUCGCCUGCCUUCAGGCGAGGCGCUGGAGGGUGGCGUCACGUUGCCCCGAGCCUAGGCGCGCCUUUCACAACUAUGGGUGCAUUGUGAGCAAUAGAAGUGUAAUGAACAUAGGUUUUUGCUCAACAAUGCAAUGUAAAUAGGUUGUGCAUAUUGCCCAUGUAAUAUGUUUUUCUUGGUAUUUUGAAUAGUUGUGAAGUAAAGUUCAUGAAUCAUCUUUUUGUUUUGUUUGUUUGUUUUUUUGGUUAGUUUUUCUUGCUGUUAGUUUUUUAAAUAUUGUGGCUAGCUAGGUAGCACUAUAAUUGACAAUGCAUCUAAUAUUUUAUCUGGUUGUAAAUUAGACAUACUGGGUGUCCAGUGCAACAAAUUUGUUCAAAUUUCUGGUGCUUGCUGUCUAAGCAGUAAUUUGUAGAUGUUCAGUUCAAUGUCUCCUUGUUGAUGCUUCUGCAAUAUACUGUUCUAUUUUGGACAUCGCUGUCCUCUGAUCAGUCAUUAUAUGCUAUAUUUGUAGAUUGUUACAAGUAACAAGCCAUUUAGAAGGAAAAUAUUGGUUUCUCUGGGUUUGGAGAUUCAUUUUUCUGUUGCAUGCAUAUACACCCCUUAUAAAGCUGCGCUACAAUUCUCAAUGGCUACCCCUUUAGCUUUGUGUAUCUACCUCUUUGGGUUGAGGCCAAAACUAUGGCUUCUUUACGAGUGGAAUGGCUUGCAGCCUUAUGUUUUAAUGCAUAUGAAUAGACCAGAUGCUUAAAUGAUUCAAUUUCAGUGUGAUGCAAUCUAACUCCCUUGGAUUACAGCAUUCUCAGAAAAUUGGGGGGUGCAAGUGGUAUCAAAAGUUGAAGUGAUGUAAUCUAUGAAAUCAUCUAGAUGAUCCUUUGCUUACAAUAAAAAUGUACUCAUCUCAAAUGCUUGGUUGUUAAACCUUUUUUUUUUUUUUUUGUCCAAAUGCUAGCAGAAACUUAGUGGAAUGAUCUCAUUCUGUGUUCAAAUACCCCUUCAUCCUUUUUUUAAGUUUAUGCUUGCUACAUAGAUUGGUUAAACCCUAGGAUUUUGUUCAAUCUGCAUAAUGCACGCAUGAUUUGUUACCUUAUUUAUCCAUAUGUGCAUAUUGCUGUAAACUUGUGACGUAUUAUUCUCGUUGCCUUGUUGGUUUAUUUUUGUAGACUUACGGUAAUGUGUGAGAAACCUGAAAUAUUUUUCUUCAAUACCCGUGAUAUGCAACAUUUCAGGUCUUCUAAAGAUUUUCCAGAUAUGCAUGCUCUUGUUAUGCACACAUACAACUCCAACUCAGAUAAUGCUAACUUGCUUGUGGAUCACUUGGGCUUACACAAAGCUCUGUGUGUUCUAUUGGGAUGGAACUACUCAAUGCCUCCUGAUAACUCAAAGACAUAUCAGUUUUUGUCUGCUGAUGAAGCAGCAGCAAACCAGGAUGAUCUGAUUAUGUGGCCGCCCACAGUCAUCAUUCAUAAUACAGUUUCAGGAAAGGGUAAAGAUGGGCGCAUGGAGGGUUUGGGAAACAAAGCUAUGGAUAAUAAGCUUAGAGGUAUAACAUGCCCCUUCAUUCUUUAUCCUCAUUGCUGCUAUUUAAUGUUGGAAUGACCCUCCAAAAUAGUUGGCCCUUUAGUGAGAAAUCCUACGCAUGCAUUGAAUGCACCAAAUUUUUUUUUUUUUUUGCCAUUGUUCAGUAAGUGCAUAUAUACUUCUCAGAUGCAAUAGUUUGUUAGAUUCUGAUUACCAUGGUCAUAUGAAUCUUCCUUGUAGGUUUAUGCUGGUUUACUCCAUCCUCUUAUUGAUGAUUGAUAUAAAUUAAGAGAUUGCUUCUUUGAGUGAUAUGAUUUUUGUUUUGAAGUAGGAAUAGUUUCAGUUAGUCCCUCCCUGAACUAAUUUGUAUUAGGCGUCAGGCACCCAUGUUAAGACACAGUGCACAUCAUCCACAUGGUGAACCAUCAAUUCAUUUGUAUUAGGUGUAAGGACUCCUAGCAUCCGAAAUCUAAUGUCAUUUGAAUGAUCUUAUGGUUAUCUUUUAAGAAGAACAAGCACAUCAUCUUCAGUAGGGUUGUCUCAAAAGGCUCUGGGAAGACUAUUUUUAUUAUGCAACUGUUUUUCUAAUAUUGAGGCCUGAUUGGUUGUCUGACAAAGUUUGACCUUGAUGUAUAGUGAAAUAGUUAGAUUUGUUGAUACAUAACUUUGUUGAUGGGUGUUGCAAAUAAUCAUCAUUAUCAGUGUCCUUGCAUUCUUACCUUUUCAUUAGAUGCAAAACAUAUAGGGAAAGAACAACCGGAAAAACAAACUAACCAUAUACAGUACAAUGCAAGUCAUCAAUAGACUCCAUUUCUCAUUUUCUCUUUCUUCAACCUGUAGCUUCAAUCCUGUAAUACUGGAUGGCUUAAACAAAUAUUCAAAUUGCCAUUUUUUUCCCCUUGGAAGAUCCUUAUUUUCCUUUCUCUCUGAACUACCCAAAAUAGCCAAAGCACCCAGUUCCUUAAGGUGUAAUGCUCUCCUCUAAGUGAAGGCUUUCUUCCUUUCAGAAUUCUACAGAAACUUAAUCUUUUUUUUGAUAUUGCUUCCAUUUCUGAAUACAUGGAUUUAUUUUAAUGCUAUAUGAAUAUUCUCUCUGAUUUGUAAUGUACAAAUUUCUUUGUUCAUAAGUUUAUGCAUUUCUUAAGGCAGGGGCCCAACUUGUCCAACUUGGUUAAGAUUGUUCUCCACCCUACCCAAAUCAACUAAAGCUUGGUCUUGACCAGGCUGUUCAGGUUGGACUAGAAUAAUUGUAUGUUGUCUUUUGUUAAUGCCUAUGAAGUCCAUUGAGGAAAAACAUUUAGAAGAAACCUCAUAGAAUAAGAUAUUAAUUAAAGGUGGCUUGAAAGGGCUUCUAUAAUUAAUGAACUGAAAACAGUUCUAACCAAUGUCAAAUUACAUCUCAAGCCAACUAGCACAACAUGUAAAACCUCUCCCGUAAGUAGAGCCUUCGCAUUUAUUCUUAAAUAUAUUUGUUAAGAAUAUUAAUAUAAUGGAAGCAAUUCAAAAUGUGUUUCAAGUUUGAAUUUUUUAAUUAAUUUUUAUUUUUAUGAUCAGUGGCUAUCUUAAUGUUGGACCAUCUGAUUUUGAGAAACGGAAGGCCUUUAUGAAUUUGGCCCUGGCCAGUCAAUUUUUGCUAAGCACUAUCCUUUGUUUGCAAUGGUAUCUGUGGCAUGGCUCAGUGCAUUUGUUAUGCUUUCAUUUACAUUGUGAGUUGGCAGUGGCUUGGGGAUACUCAACUUGGGACAAAGGGGGGGAAUUUUGUGGACAGUAUCUAUUUUCACUACUUGUGAUCCUUUGGCAAGAAGGAAAUAGUAUCUUUUUUAAGAUGGGAAUGAGGGUAGAGGUGUUCAGCCUUCAUGUAGAAUUGUAAAGUGUUUUGUAUAGCUCUCUUUUAGAGGGUUUAGCAUGUGGUGAUUUACGCCUGUUUACAGGUUUGUAUUUUUUGCCUAAUGCCCCAGGAAAAUCUGCAUAAAGGUGAGCCCAAAUUUGCCUGAUAUUCUGUCCAGGUUAAAUUAGAAGUAAGAUGCCUUCCAAAUUUGAAGAGUUUGAUUCUGCAUAACAGUUUCCAGUUUGAUUUUAGAGUUUUAGAAUUCCAAAUUGAGUUUAAUGAUUCAUGUUUCAUUUGGGAAGAAAUUUAGAGUUAUGUUUGGUUCUCUCAUCUGAAAGCAGUUCUCAAGAACAGGUUAUUGAAACUAAAAACAAAGAACAGUUUUAGAAUUUUUGCUUGAAAUCAUGUUUGGUAAAUAUAAAUUCAGAACAGUGUUCAGAAAGCUGAGUAUUGUUAAAUUUGUUUGAAAAUCUAUUGGAGAUAGUUCUGAAAAGAACAAUAAUUGAAUUUUUUUUACUAUUUUCCAGAGUUCCAAUUUCUUUCAUUUUUAUUAUUUUUAGUUGGUUAAGUUGUACAUAUAUAGGCAUGCUUAAAAUUUAAUGCACAUGUCUAUUUCUAGCCAUUAAUUUGCAAGAUCAAAUAAAAUAAAGUUUCCAUGUAGGAGACUGUUGGAUCUUUACCUUACUUUGAAGCUGCUUGGAUAUUUCUUUACAUUAUUUUAUAAUGGUUUUUGUUUCUAUAUUAGUUCUGUACACCUGUUUCCCUUGAUUUUUAGAGAUUAAUUUCUUGUAGCAUACAUAAAAUACUAAGAUCUCAUGCACAUGUCCAAGCUCAAAGGAAAGAUGUUGCUUUAGGUAGGCAGUUGGUUCAAAACCAUUGUUACAAUGUUUUCCUCCCUUCAAAUCAUAAUCUAAUUUAUAGACAAAUCUUAUUCAGCUUUUCUUCUGAGAUUUCUAUUGUAAUGUUGUGCUAUUUUAUAAAAUCAAGCUACUAAACACAGGAGAAAAGGGGGUUGCUUUUGAUAGAGAGUUGCCUCAAAUCUUUUCUCAAAUGUUUAAGCUAGUGUCAGAAAGGAAUUGUGUAGGCUGUUGCUGAGCAGUUUAGAUGAGUCUAGUUGAGUCAAAAGCAAAUUGCAGACAAUUUUGCAUGGAUGGUAGGGAUUAGCACCCAAUGUUUUAACACAUACAUUCAUACAUGACACUGGUGACUCAUUAAGAUCAUUCAAUUGUUACACUACCUGUUGGAUUGGGCAGGCAUGAAAUUUUUCAACAAUUAUAUAGAUGGAUUGAUAGGUUGCAAUGUUUGAUAAUUAAUAAUUUCCUUCCAAUACACUGGAUUCUGUUAGCCUUAAUGUAAUUUUUCUUGAUUGUGUCGAGUUGAGUUCUUGUUGGUUGCUAGAUUGCUGAAAAUGCUUAGAUGUUUUGCUUCAGCAAAGGACUAACCUGACUGUUUAGUGACCUUGAACAGUAAUAUACUUCCAACAUUUGGAAUUGACGCCUCGAUUUCUUUUCUUUUUUUUUUUUGAUAAAUUAAUGUUGAUUAUGAUUUUUUUUACAUGUAGGUUAAAUUUUGAGUAUGGAAUCUUUCCAUUUAUCUUUCUUGUAUUUUGCAAUGGUUUAGACUUUGUACUCUUUUUAUUUGUUUCUUCUCUUUACUGUUAAAGACUUUAUACUCUUUUAUUCAUUUCUUCUCUUUAAUGUUAAAGACUUCAUACUCUUUUAUUCAUUUCUUUUCUUUUAUGUUAAAGACUUUAUACUCUUUUAUUCAUUUCUUCUCUUUAAUGUUACUUGUUAAGUGUUUGUCCAAUAAUGAAAACCAUGCAAAGCAUUAACUGUUUUCAUUGCACAUGAUCUCAUCAUUUUAGUUUAGUCUUGUUUAAUCACCACUUGGUUUACUCCUAGGUUUCCUUGGGAUUGCACAUUCACCCAAUGUAUGUGUUAUGCAUUUGUCUCAAUGAUCCGAACCUUGUUGUGCUCCUUUAAUGAACAUGUUUUUUCAGUUUCCUCUCAUUCUACUCCUUGAAGCAUGGAUUGUCAGGUUUAGAAGCCAAAUAGUAUUUGUUACUUACGGCAAAAGUAUGAUUUACUGUUGUUAUAUAAUAGGCUUUGGUCAAGCUUUGGUUAUGCGGUGCUGAAUUCAAUGCAAUUUGAGUCAAAUCAACAAGGAUUCAACACAAAUAGAAUUUAUGCUUGGACUGAUUUUAUAAUUUCUCAUGCUCAAGUUCCAAUAAAAAAAGAAAAGAGAAAGAAAAGCUUUGUCUGUACUGUUUAUGUAGGGUUUUUUUUUUUUUUAUCAUGGGAGGUCAGUCACGUGAGAUGGCUUACAUCAAGAGUUUGAGAAAGUGGAGCAGAGUGAAAGGCGACAGAGGGUUGGAGAGAAUGACAAUAAAGUCAAGGAGAGAAUUAGGAGAGUAGGAAUCUCUUCUUCUUCUUGUUGGAUGGGAAUGAAGCCCUCUAUGGUACUUGAAAAUAGUAACUCUUAUGUUAAUUGUCCUGGAUUAAAGAUAGGAUGAUCCCCUUGUUAUCUCGAUUGAAAUGGACUUGAUGCAUAUCAAUUCCGACUCAAUGAGCCAACGCUAACCACCAAAUCAAAACCAUCAAGCCAAUCCUAAGGUGCUCAGUGGUUACCCAAGUUAUGUGAAGUCCAUUUUGAGCAUGCUCUCGACUUGAGGCCUAUUCCAAGAGUCAUUAAUUGGGUUAUCCAUCCUUAGGUUUAAGAAUGACAUUGUUGCGCCCCCAUAAUACCUCUCUCAACUUGACUCCCCUCCCAAUAUGAUGUUCCUGUGACUCGAACCCUUAACCCGUAGCCCUAAUACCAAUUCUUGAAUUGGACUUUGACCAUCUUAUCCAAAAACCAAUUGAUGUCUAGUGAAGGUGGGUCAAACAUUUUAUAACAUUUGACAUCACACCUCAUGGGCUUGUUCAAAGAGCCAUUUUUUGAGUGACCCAUCCUUGGGCUUAAGAACAGCAUUGUUGCACCCCAACACAUCUAUUCACAGUUAUUUUGGAGAGAAUGUGAACUAUUCCUUGUAACAGAAAUAAAACAAUCAUCAUUUUUAAGUGCUUAUGGUGUCACUUUUACCACAAGGUUGAGUAGGAGAGACCCCCUCUCUUUCCAAUAUGAGCAGGCAUUCUUAUUCCAUGGGCAUUUGAGUUGCCUGAAGAUUUACUUGGAGAUAAAUCUGUGUUCAAAAUGUUGUAGCAUUGCAGCAUAAGGAGAGAUGGAAACAAGCAAGCACAGGAGAAUGUAUGGACAUAAUCAGUUGAUUCCUAGAGGUAAAGGGCACUCAAAGUCAUGUUAAUGGAGACCUGUCUUGGUCAUGUGACACACGCAAUAGUCAUGUUAGUGGAUAAUGACCUUGAUCAUGUGACACUAAGUCCCAGGACAUGUGCUAUUCUAUAAUUGUAAUGCCACGAUAAAGCCUUAAUCUCAUAAGCUGAUUGUGUUCAAUACCUUGAUCAUGUGACACUAAGUCCCAGGACAUGUGCUAUUCUAUAAUUGUAAUGCCACGAUAAAGCCUAAAUCUCAUAAGUUGAUUGUGUUCAACACCUGCAUCAGUGGGACUCAAUACGCACUUUAUGCUAUGUUAGUCACAACUUAGUUGCCAUUUAAUGGUCUGUUAAAUAGAGAUUUUCUGUAAGGUACAGGAUGGGUAUUACCCCAUGUGUUUGCUGAUUCCUUUGGCAUCCCGAUUCUUACUUUGUUGUCGAAAUUGUAUUAAAAUUCUCACAUGUUCAUCUGUGAAUUCCUAUCUGUUAGUGGAAUGCAUUUUUCACCAGUAACAAAAUGAGGUGGGCAUCUGCAUGUGAGCUACCUUCUUAGGUUAUAUCUGGUGAACUGCUUUUCUAUUUAUGUCCUCUAUUGAUUGGUUUGCUAGAAUCUGUCACUUUCAACAAAUCGUGUGAUGGUUUGAACAUCUACGGGUUGCCAUUCUGUAGAGCCUCAUAGUGCUAGAAACUAUUUGGAUGGGUUGAAAUUGUCUCUUCUCAGGAUAUGAAAAUGCUAGCUAAUUGGUGAUUUUGAAAGGUGCCAUUUAUGGCUGUUGGGUGCGUUAUUAUGAAACUGACAACCUAGAUGAAUCCAUCAGGAGGAUUAUAUCUUUACAGAUGAUGACCUUUUGGGCUUUGUUGUCCACGCCUCAUUUGAAAGUCUUCUUUUAAUACAAGUUAUUUUUUCUCUUUUAUGUUUGUGGCUUUCAGAUCUUGGAUUUGGGGGUGGCAAGUCAAAGUCCUUAUAUGGGAGAGAUGGUCAUCAAGGCAUCACCCUGGUUAAGUUUUCUGGUGACCAAUCAGGGCUGAAGGAAGCUGUGCGGCUGUCAGAAUUCUUUGAGAAGGAUAAUCAUGGACGCAAGGGUUGGGCCCGUGUACAGCCUUUGCUACCAGGCAGGGACAGUGAGAACAAUCCAAACCUUGUGAAGGUGGAUGAGAGGACUGGGGAGAAGAAAAGGAUCUUUUAUGGCUAUUUGGCAACUGCUUCUGAUCUAGACAAGGUUGAUUUUGAGACGAGGAAGAAGGUUUUAAUAGAGAGUAAGAGGGAAUAUAAGCCAUCGAAUUAGCGUCUGGGAAAUAGUACAAGGUACUUCCUGUGUAUUCUAUUCAUACUGUCAUUUGGUGAAGUCUAAGAAAAUAUUUAGAUUUUUUUUUUUUUUUUGACAUUUUAUUUGGUUACCCUUCCUUUCUGCGCCUCAUGAAUGGGGAAGGUAAUGGGAAGUCAAAGAUUUUCUUGGUAACAAGUUCUAAUAUGGAGAGGUGUGUGUUCCAUCUUAAUGCUGGUGGGAAUUCUCAGUUAUGUAAUGAUAUCGAUGGAACUUUUAUCUGAUUUCUAUUUUUUUUUUUUUUUUUUUAUGGUAAUCUUUUCAAUUUAUUACCAUCACAUGGUUUAAAUGUUCCAUUUAGGCUGUUCUUGGUUAAAUUAGAUUUUAGACAUAAGUCUGAUUUUUCCCUAUCCUUACUGAAGUUCCCACUGGUUUUCAUCCAACUUGUUAAUUCUGUGAAAUGUCAUAUGUGUGCAUGUAUGUAUGCAUCUGAAUUGUUUAAAUUAUUGUUUAUAGUCUUGCUUUCCAUUUAGUUUAAGUCUUUUCUGCAGGAAAAAAAAAUUGGGCCUGGUGUGCCUUGUAAGAAUCUUAUGGUUGAGUUGCGUUCAUAAUCGUAUGAAUUGUAAUAUUUAAUAAUUUUUGAAUUACUUUUUGACGGAGGUUUUAUUAGGACGGAUGGGUUGAAGUCCCCCAAGCCACUUAUCGAGCCAUUAGGGUUUUGCACACUAGGGAAUGUGCGAAGAGGAAAUUAACACGGCCCUUAGCCCAGCCCAAUCCUAUAUUUGGUGAUUUUUAUAGUUUUUAUUAUUACUUUGUUUUUCAAUUUGAAAUUUGGGUCAUGGUCCUGGAAGUCAAAGCCAAAGAUAAAGGGCGGCAGGCCUGAAAAAGGGGGGAGAUUCGCAUGAGCAUUGCAUCGGCCAUUGGAUAGGGUACAACUGUUGAUCCACCCACCUUCUCCUUUGUCUACCAUUAUUUUAAAGGUUGGUUGUGGUAAGGAGAUGACGGAUGGAGACGGGUUUCAUUUUUAAAUUUAACCGCCUUCUUCCUGGAACUUUUUUGAAAUCUUAAAAUCCUAAAUUUGUUGCUAGUUACCUUAGGUCUUGGUUGUUUUUUAUUUACUUGUUGUGAUGCGGUUGGAGUUAUGGGGGGUGAUUAUGAUGUCCACUCACAUCCCUAUCGGGGCAAAAUAAUGGCUACAAAUAUUCCAGGGUGUCAAUGGAUAAGUGAUGAGUGAUUAGAAAAAUGUAUUGUGUCCUGUGUCCAAGUGCUAGUAAAUGCUAAUUGGUGAGUGAUGUGCGUGUCAAAGCAGGAAUAGCGUAGGUAGAUGGCACAUCUACAACAGUGGGUUAGUGUAUUAAGUGAGUGCCGGCACUCCGGCAAAUGUCUUUACUUUAUCUGACUACACCCAUGUGGUUGUGAGUGGAUUGGGCCACGCUCAAAGCCUCCCACUUUCCUCAGCUUUUCAGCACCCCUCUUCCCUCUCCCCUCUCCCCUCCCCCUCCUCUCUUCCCCCUCACCCUUCCCUGUUUUGGCUUUGCCUUUUUGGUUUGUUGAUCCAACUUCGGUUUGCGGGAAAGAAUUCCUCACUUAUACCACACACCACCACCCAAGCACAUCCCCCCCUCUCCCCCUCACACCUCCCCCUCUUAUUCUACAAACCUCAUCAUCAUUCCAUCCACUUUUCACUGUGACCCAAUCCUACGCACCCUCCCACCUCACCCACCUUCAAAUUCCCUACCAUCAACACGCAAGUGCUUGUGCUACACUGCACACUGCUCCUAUAUAAUUCCCAUUUACCUUCAAUUUGUGACCCUUUUCAAAAUCCCAAAUACUUGCAAUCCGAGGCUCUGUGAAUGCGAUCCCAAACAAUAAAUUCAAUAAAACCAUCGUUUUUCCUGCCUGGACCUACUUCAACAAUUUUCCUACUCUGAUAGUACUACUCUCAAUCAAAUUACUUUAGAAAUAUGUAACUGGUCUUAGGCGGCCAUCGCUUUAUUCAUCCACGUAAUAAAGAGGUCCAUUAAUAUAACACCAUCGUGUCAAAGGAGUUCAUAUCAGUGACACAUAAUGACUUCACCGUGCAUUAACUUUCUAAUCAAAUUAUAAAAGAGUGUAUUAUUAAAUAUUCCAUUUUGCUUUUACGAAGAUACUAAACAGAUUUUUGUUAAGUUCGUAUAAAUUUUUUAAAGGAUUUUAUGUAGAUAUAUAUAUUUUUUUGGGGCGGGGGGGAAGAAAAAAGUGAUUUUUAUUUAAAGCAUUAAAAUAUUUUAAAAUUGAGGUUAGCCUCAGGUGUAAUAACAAGGUUGCAUCAAAGGGUGAAGCUAAAUGCUAAAUCUAAAUAAGCGAGGGAAGGAAAGGAAAAUCAUGGGCGGCAAACAAUUUCUUUAUGUGGAAAGUGGCUCAAUGAUAAGAGCGGAAUGAUCCGCAUACCAAACUGGCAGCCGCUGGCCCCUACGCACCCCUGGCGCAAACUAGCAUCGCCCCUCACCCCCCGACUGCUGAAAGACGCCACUACACGUGUUGACGUGAUACGCACCCACGUCAGCGCCCUGUUCUUUCUCCCUAUCAUCUAGCUUUUUCGCUACCACACUCCUUCUCUCUCUCUUUCCCUCUUUCAUUUUAGGGUUUCUGUCGUCUUCUUCUCUCUCUCAUCUGCAUCUGAGUCGCAGACCAACCAUGGGGUCCAUCCCCGAUCCCGGUGAUAUUUCCGGCGAGUUGAAUCAGCCCAGCUUCGACGACUUCCAGAAGCAGACGUCUCUCAUGACUAGUUGUACUCUUCUCUGGAAAGAACUCUCCGAUCACUUCACUUCCUUGGAGCAAAAUCUCCAAAAGAAAUCUGAAGCUCUCAAGAACAAGUUCCAAACCCUGGAUCACCACACCAAGGAGUCCCUAGGCGUGCUCAAGAAGCGUGAGGUCACGAUCGACGGCUCCGUGGAGAUCGCACUUGGAAAAGUCGAGGAGAGCAGGGAAGCGGCAUUGAUCGCUCUCCUAAAAGGUGCGCAGGAUGGGGAGGUCGAUGACAGCGAGGGUUUGUUGUUGAAAUUGAAGUCGUUUUGCUUGAAAAUGGACUCCAAGGAGUUUUGGAGGUUCAUAACCGCGAGGAAGAAGGAAUUGGAUGCGCUUAGGGCCCAGACACCGGAGGCUUUAGCCGAAUGUGUGGAUCCGGCGAAGUUCGUGUUGGAGGCAAUAUCGGAGGUCUUUCCAGUGGAUAAGAGAGUCGAAAAGAGCGAGAGGUCGAAUGAUUUGGGGUGGGCUUGUGUUUUGGUGCUGGAGUCUCUGAUACCGGUAGUUGUGGAUCCGGUGCUGGGGAAGUCGCGGCUUUUGGUGACUCCAAGCGUGAAAGAACGAGCGAAGGAUAUCGCUGAGACAUGGAAGGCGAGUUUGGACCAGCGCGGAGGGAUUGAGAACGUUAAAACGCCGGACGUGCAUACAUUUCUGCAGCAUUUGGUGACCUUUGGGAUUGUGAAGGAGGAAGAUGUUGAUUUGUACCGGAAGCUUGUUGUUGGGUCUGCGUGGCGGAAGCAGAUGCCUAAGCUUGCUGUUUCGCUUGGGCUUGGUGAUAAAAUGGCCGGUAUUUUUCCAUCCUGUUUGUCCUGUUUAGUUAUAUGCAUUUUGUUUCUCGUCGAAAUAAAAAGACAUAAUUUUUCCCCAAACUAAGUGGCUGAGCUGCGUGCGACGGUACUACAAAAACUGACUGAAGAGUGCAUACAAACUGUGGAACAAAUUACACCACUUGAGAUGAAUUAAUUUUGGCUUGUCUAUUUCUCAGUCUUUCUUCUUUCUUUUUUAUUGAUCUUAUUAGAUGAUUUCAUAUGCAGAUAUUGCAUCAAUUGUAAAAUUAUAAACCCAUGUUACAGCCUCCCAAGCCGCAAAAUCAUUUUACCAAGCAUUAACAGGUGAUAAGAAUCCACGAUCUCCAAGAUAUAUGGAUGAAUUAAAGUGGACUGGCUUUUAUCACUUAGAUAUAAGGUUCAAAGUUUCCAUUAAUAAUCAUCCUCUUAAACCUAGUGGAAUCAUUAAAAGAUGUUCUUUUAAAAACGCGCUUCUCAUAUGUGGAUGUGGUUUGAUUGGCAUUUUAGUUAUUCAGAUAUCAUUUGUGGGUACAAACUUGGAUUUUGUUCUUUACUAGGCAUUUGUCUAAAUCAUGUGGAGAAUUAAGUCAGCAAUAUUAUUGUCAAAGUGCAGAAGCUUAUUUUCUAUUGGGUGGAUCUCUAAAUCAUCUAUUAUCUUUCCAUAAUUGUUGUUAUGCAGUAACUUCUUACAACACAUUACCAAGCUAUUGGAUUGGAUGCUUUUUCUUAGAAACCUUACAAGAUAUGUCUGUUACAUUUCCUAGCUAAUUCUCAAUCACAAAUCCUCUGCCCACCAUAUUUUAGGCUGAGAAGUGGUAAGUUAAUGCCAGGUAGAAAGUGUUACCCGUUUGGUUAUCCUUUCGUGGGCCAAGAUCUUAGUGUACUCAGUUUAUUAUUUUAUAUUUUUGUACUUCAUCAUAUGAGAUGCUUUCUUCUGCUAUUCUCGGAAUUUUAUUUUUUUCUGUUUUUUCCCGAUUGUUGUAGACCAUGGUUUAAGUUAUGAAAAGCCCCUUGAAUUGAUUCUUCCUUUUUUGUCUUUCCGUCCGUCUUUCUUUCUUACUUUGAUCAAUGUAUACUUGCUUUGGUGGCUUAUGUGCUGCCAUUAGCAGUUCAAGUUGAAUUUUAGUCACAUUUAUGCAGAGUCAUGAUGAUCUAGUUGGAUGCUUAUUCUCACUACCUUUCAAGGUCACUUCAUUAUCUUAAUUAUUAUGAUAUCUUAACCAUGUCAAUGUCUAGUUGACAUGUGAUGGUACUAUCUUGUCUGGGCUUUUGCUUUUUCUGAGGUAUGGCAUGGGGCUUUUACUGUGAAUUAUUGGACAUGUUCCAGUGUAGUAUAGCUGAGUUUUAAUGCUUGUAAAACUUUUGUCAUAUGCAGAUAUGAUUGAAGAAUUAGUCAAUAGGGGACAACAAGUUGAUGCUGUGCACUUUACAUACGAAGUUGGGCUUGUGGACAAGUUUCCCCCUGUACCCUUGCUGAAGGCUUUUCUGAGAGAUUCAAAGAAGGCUGCAACUUCAAUUUUGGAGGAUCCCAACAAUAGUGGCCGAGCUGUGGUAUGUCUUGCAUCCAUCCAUCCUGAAUGAUAUUCUUUGUUGUGUCCAUUCUUAUAAGCAAGGUCUACAUGAAUUUAUGGAACUGGAUUUCCUUCUUAUUUACCUUGUCUCCUGUUAUUAUUAGAUGAAUGACAGCAGAUUUUACCCUGGGUACGCUCAUUUUUAAUAUCUUUUCUAUGCUCAAAUCAUAUAUCUGUAGUGCUGAUCAUUGAUUAUUACUUUUGUUGGGGUCAUGUUUAACCGUUAAAUAGAUUUUGGGACAGGAACACCUAUGGCAUCGUUAUGCUUCUGCUAUCUGUUCACAAAUCGGGGGAUUAUUUUUGUCUGCCUCAAAAAUAUGGUAGUUUUGAAGAAAAAAAUUUCUCAAGGCUCUCCUAAUUGUUGGCAGUGGGUGCAUUGCAUCCAAUCAGUAUCAAAUGCUCUUGUCGGGGAAUACAUGAAACCAAGGUUGUCAAAAUCAUGUUUGCAAAUAGGCUUGAUAUGGGAUCACAAUUGAAUUAUGAAGAAUAACAAGAUUGUAGAAAGAAAAAGGUAACAGAUAAAAAGGGUAUAUAUUUCAAAAUCAUGAUAUAAUUUCAAGAAAAAGAUGUAGAAGAAUCAAACCAAUGUCUGGAAACUAGGCAUGAUUUCAUCCGUAGCCAGAGAUUGAAAAGAAGAAAGAGGGAAAGAGGGAUGAGGGGUGAAUGAUGUACUGAAAAACUGCUGAAAAUCAGAAAUGUCAAGAAGUAUAUCUCUGAGGUCAAAGAGAAAAAAAAAUCUAAUAGAUGAUAUAGUUGAUGGAAAAAGAACCAAUAUCUCUGCUCUGCUGAAAAUAUUUCUAGGUGACUCCUAAUUUUGAUUGUUUUAACAGUGAAAAAAAUAAAGGCAGGACUAGUUGCUUGCUAGACUCUCAGGGGUUGUCCCCCAAGUUGACUGGCCCCCAGCCUACCAUGAUAUGAUUCUUGUAUGUUGUGAGUUUUGAAUGGGAGCCAGGUCUUAGUUUUGUGAUGGUAUUGGGCAUAGUGGGUAUCUAGAAUCUUCAUUGGGAGCUUAAUGGCUAUUCCUAGAACAUUUUGUAUGGAUUGGUUAAUGGUGCUGGGUUCAAUAGAAAUGUAUUUUUCUUUCUCGAUGAACUAAAAGUUGAUCAAGAAGACCCAGUAGACACGAGUAGACCUUUUCUGUACGCAAGAUCAAACUUAUCACACAUUGAUGAAAAGUGGUGUUAGGGCUCUAAAAAAGAGUGGGAAAAUUUUGGAGUUUGUUCAUGCACACAAACAAAUAACAAUGAGAGUUGCAUUUUUGACUUGUUAUCUUUAUUUCUUUCUUUGGCAGAACCUAGCUGGACGCAAAGAACAGUCAGCACUCCGGGCUGUCAUCAAGUGCAUUGAAGAAUACAAACUGGAAGCUGAGUUCCCUCCAGAAAACCUUAAGAAGCGCCUUGAACAGCUAGAGAAAGCAAAAACUGACAAGAAAAGGCCAGCUGCAGUCCCUGCCAACAAACGAACACGAGCAAGCAAUGGUGGGCCCAUGCCUCCAGCCAAGGCUGGCCGCUUGACAAAUGCAUACGUAUCAUCUUUCCCAGCUGCUCCUACAUUCAUCCGGUCUCCCUCUCACACUCAGUACCCUGCUGCAGUCCCUGCAUACCCAUAUGACAGGCCAGCUGCACCUGCCAUGUAUGGCAGCAGGAGUCCACCAGCCAACCCUUAUGCUUACUCGCCGGAAGCUGCCCCUCCUCUUGCUGGAUCAUAUCCUGGAGCUCCCAUCAACUAUCCUGCAUAUGGAGGCUAUGGCAAUGGUAUGGCACCAGCUUAUCAGCAGGCUUACUACUGAUAAUAGACAUGACUACUCUGAAGAUGGUAACACUGAUAUGAUGAUGACCCC
rnacentral:lncRNA from 1 species